UAUACUUCAUUUUGAGGCAUUGCCUACUGGGUUCUGCAUGGCUUCUAAUUAUAUCUGCAUUAUUUCAUUUUGUGUGUAUAAUGUGUGUGUAUGUGUAUAUAUAUAUAUAUAUUUCUUCAGAACAUAGAUCAGUAAAUUUAGGACAUAGGUUUGUGGGAAGCUCCUGCACAUAAUGUAAGGGAAGACAUAAAUUACCUAGGACACAAGGUGUACAUAAUAAACCAUUAAAUUAUUCUUUUACAUCUCUUUACUUGUUCUAGGGAAUAUGUAUUUUGUAUUUUUUUAACUGACUGGUGGUCAUUCUGUAUGCAUAAGAAGUAGAUAAGCUAUGGAAUCAACUCAUGAGGAACUUAACCUACAGUCCAGAAGACUGAUAAUUAACAGCAGUAUAUAGAGGACAGAGUAGGGAGUGCUGUCCUAGAAGAGGUCAGGGAAAAAAACAAGAAAGCUUUCCCGGAGUGAAUUUUAAAUGAGGCUAAUACCCUAAAAAUAAGACUAAACAAAAAGAAUUUUUGAAGUUCUAAUUUUACCCUUGAUCCUUAAUGAGUAAAGCUUUCAUUUUCCACUAGUAAUAUGUGUUUCUGGUAGAAAUAUUUUAGACAAUAGGAAAACAUAUUAACUCACCAUUUAGGGAAACCAUUGUUAACAUUCAUGAGAUACUUUUUUGAACAUGUAUUAUGUUCUAGAGCUUAGCCAGUCAGCCACAAGUUCUCAGAAGGGAGCAUUUUAAUUGACAAGCAGCCUGAAUAGCAAUAGAAAAUUUGACUUGUGUUAGUUGUCUUCAAAUUUGGACUUACAGACCAAAUGGGCACCAACACUAGUGAUGUCAGUAGAACAACACAGUACAAUAUUCUUCUGAAGAAACAUCAAAACACCUGUCAUAACCUCCACCUAGAGCAGAUGUGAGAAUCAGACUCCUCUGGGUCAAAUCCUGGCUGUACUUUUCGAUCUGUAUGAUCCUAGCCAAGUUUUGGGCCCUCUGAAUCUCAGUAAAAUUAGAUUAUUAACCCAGAUGCAAUGUUUUGAAAAAUGAGUAAAAUAAUUCCUAUAAAGUGCUAAUCAUAGUUUGAUAUGUACCAAAGUAUUUUGUUGUUUUUGUUUGUCUGUUUUUUGUUUUUUGUUUUGUACCGGGGAUUGAACUCUGGUCCUUGCGCUUGCACAGCAGGCGGCGAAACCACUGAGCUAAAUCCCUGGCCCCUGUAGCAAAGUAUUUAAUAAAUACUGCCAUUACUAUUGUGCUUGCUAUUAUGAUUAUUACUAUUACAGUUAUUUAAUUACCAGGAAAAAUUGUUGAAAAUAUAUUUUUCCAGUACAAUAAUGUUACGUUACUGACAAUAUAAAUGAAAACACAUUUCCUACCGAGGAUGGGUCAGAGAUGCCAUCUUUGUAACACAUAUUAAAAAUCUGGGUUUUAUAGAUGAAAAUUAUAAUAGGAUUUAUCUCAGUAGAUUAAUGAUAUUUUGCAGACUAAAUUUGUUUCUAGGUAGAAAUGACGUCUAAAACUUCCUUAAUGCCUUUGUUGUUAAAGAUUUAUUUCAACAAUAUCUGAUUAACUUGUUUUAUUAAAAAGAAAUUUUAAAUUUGAAACCCCAAUAUUUUUUAGAUAAUGCCACAUUCCUUUAUAGAUAAGUGAUAGAAAAGCAGUAGAAAUAUAAUUUUACUUAAAUGGGACAUCAUUGGGAAGAAAACUCUUACUGUCAGAUCUCAACAUAUAGUGACCAAAGAUCACUAGUUUAGCAGGUACUACAUAGUAGGCACUUAAAAAUGUUUAUUGGAUUGAAUUAUAUUUUGUCAGAAACCUAAGCAUGUUCUGUUGGAAGUGUAAAUGACUUUAAGACAUUGACACAAUUGAAUUACAAUAUAAUUUAAAAAGUAGUUCGCAACAAAUUAUGUUCACUUUUUUAAAGUACAGACUGUCUUCAGUGUGAGAAGCAGAACUAUGUCAUGAAAAGAACAUAAACUGUAAUUGCACAGAGUGGGGUUGGUGUUGUUUAUCAUCUCCACUGUUUUCCAGUUAUAUCAUCGUUUACAAGUUUUUUUCUGUGUCUAAGUCCUCAAGUAGAAAAUGAAGUAAUAAUAUCCUCAUUGAGGUGUGUGUCUGGCCCUGGUAGAGUUCUUGGUAUAUAAUAGAGACUCUGUAAGUGAUACCUGCUAUCAACAGCAGUGACCAUGACAAUACGACAAGCCCUAUGUACAGUGUCCACAAGAUUAUUAAUAUAUAUUAUAUAUGAGUAUAUAAAUAACACUUGAAAGUGUGUUGUUUAGUGUGUGACUCCCAUUCAGAACCUAUAUAAAAAUUUUAUCUAUUUAGUUGCCUGCAUAAAAAGAUGGCUUUAAUUAUUUAGCUAAAUGAAAAUACAAUUCAAAAAUCCAAACUAAGUUAAUAUUUUGAAAACUUACAAUAAAAACAAAAGCCACCCCAGGAUUCGUAACUAAAAUAACCAGGUAAUUUUGGCUUAAUGCAAAUUAAAACCAGGGACAGUGCUCUACAUCAAAUGAUAAAAAAAAGGGGGGAAUUAACCUAGAAAACUCUUAGGUAGCCCUUGCUUUUGGUAGUAUUAAUUGGAAGCAUCUUAAAGAUCAAAAGGCUAUUAUAACUAGUUCCAGUGGUAGCUACAUAUGGAAUAUGGCUGUAGAGAUUCACAAUGUAAAAAUAGUUCAUUGCUAAAUUCGAAAUUCUGUUAAUGUCACAAACAGUAGGAUGUGAAACACAAAUGAAUUGUGAUGACAGUUGAGUACCAAGCUGCCUAUUUUUUACCCCUCAUAGCUGCCCAAAUUUGAUUUUAUUUUCCUCAGUCCUGAAUUAACCCAUCAAUAUUUGUACUUUCUAUAUCACCUUGGAACAUACCACUUUAGAAUUUUCUUCCUAAAUGCUUCUCACUUCCUAGGAAUUUUGCUCUUGCUGCUUUUCUUCUGACAGAUAUGUAUUUUUGAAUCUUUUUUUCUAUCACUCACUUUAGAGUCAGAUUUUUGAAUGCUUUUUUAACCUACAGAUUUCUGUGGCUGUAUAUUGCUCAUUACUUUUCCUCUUUUCUCAAGUGAUUUAAGUGGCAUUCUAUAAUGCUUGAUCUGCAGGCUCUUUGUAUAGGGCAUAUUUCUUCUCCAUAUCACUUUGACUUAGCACACUUGCUAUCAUCCUGAUAAUCUGCAUUAAUUUCCUACUAUCAUUUUUAAAAACCUGUUUUUUUAAAAAAAAUUUCCACUCUUACCCUUUAUACUAGGUCUUUGUGAUCCUGGAUUUAGGGAGCAAGACUUAUGAACCAAAUAAAUCUCCCUUUUAAAUUCAGCGUUCCACAUAACCCUAAGCUAGCUUGACCUUUGGGAAAUGUCAUUUUUAAAAUCUCUAAAGAGUAUUGCUGAAAUGACCAAAUUAUGUAGGCUUAAUGGGUUUUGUAGCAUGGAUAACAGACCUACCUUACAUAGCAACAGUCCUAGCUAAACAUUUUUUAUUUGGAUUUUGCUCCACAUGGUGAUUUGGCUGCCAUUUGCUGAGUGACCUCUCUAUGCCAACCAUUUUACAUUAAUUUUUAAAACAAUUCUUUGAAGUAGUUACAAUUAUCUUCAUUUAAUAAAUGAGAAAAUCUUGAACUGGUGAGGUUAAAUGACUUGUUAAAGGGUGAAACCUAAGAUUAUAAAACUCUAGAGCUCUUUCUGUCUCCAUUAUCACAGGCUAGUGCCUGGUUAUAUAUUCAUAUUAUUUGUAGUAGAAAGUUUGUAGUGUAAUUUGAUUGGGACAUAGUCAAUUUCAGCAGAACAAACAACAUGAUGACGAAAUUUUCUUGUUGUAUCAUUCUAUUGGAAUAUGAACUCAAGAUCUCCAGAAAGGAAACAUGAGUAUAGGCAACUUCCAGUGCUGCUAGCUUGUUUCAGGCAACAACAUAGUAUUAGUAAUUUUUGAAGAAAUUAGAACUUUAAAAAGUGGUUCUUAGACCAAAGAUUGCUGACUUCCCAUCAGAAGCCUCCUGUUAAUUGAUAUAGACUUCUUCUCCAAAACUAAAAUAUGCUGAUUAUUCUCAACAAAUGCAUUCUGUAGUCCUUUUUCCAAGCAAAUUAUAUUAAGAAUUGUAUAUUGUAAUUAUUUAGUACUUUUAUGUAAUGAACACAAUACAUUUUAAUCCAGUCAGAAUCAAUUUAUGUCUCCCUUAUGAGGCAUUAAAGCUAUUUUAUAUGUACUAGCACUGACAGUCUAGAAAAUAUGACAAAAACUAGUCAUUGUCUUUUUUUUUAAGGUGAUCAAGGCUAGGGAUAUGUCAUUUGGCAAUAGUUGGCCCCCAAAGUAAAGCAGUAGUGAGACAGGCCUUCAGAUUUAGAGUCUCUACUUCCCACAGUUCUUGGCCUCGGUUUCCUUUUGCCUUUGUGCUGGUGGAUCACUGAGUUCAUCAGUGUACCCUCCAAACGCUGUUACCUUGCUUUGGACAUUGACUGGGAAUUUGUAUGGACAAGCUUAGUUUGUAAUUUUGUCACAGCCAUUUACUUCAUUUAUUUCAGAACCUCUCAGAGAAGCUUCUGAAAUGUCUCUGGAAUUUAGGGUGAAAUUUUAAUGAAAGAAAGGAAAAAACCAUAAAGACACCAGAAAGAAAGGCAGUAAAGAAACUAUAAGAAAAAUCUCUGGGAUCAUCUUCAAAUAUUCUCCUGAGGGGGGGAAAACUAUAAAGCUUUUAGUGUAAAAUGUAAGGCUUUUGAGUCCUACCGCAGGUGCUUCCCCUGGGCUCCAUCUCUCUGGUCACAGUGGCUAUUCCAAUUUCUUUCUCAAAUUCUGACAGUUACCAAGUUUGAAAUGUUUUCACUGUUUUUCACUACUCUAAAUUUAAAAUGAGGUAGGUGUUUUUCUCUUUUACUUUUUGAAGAUUCAAAAUUUUCUUGUGUAUUUAUUAAAAGUUCCUAUGAAACUCUGCCCCAAAUCCUGUUUAUUAAGCAAAUAAGUAUUGCAACCUUUUAUAAAUCUAAGUACCAUUAGGAUUUUUACCCUGUCUCUGAAUGCUGAAUAUCUGUAACUUUUAUUUGGUUAUUUAAAACACUGAGUUCUGGAAGCAUAACUGAAAAUUAAAAGCUCUAAAAGAUUGGCAUUUUUUAAGUCAAAGUUUGCUGUUCUAGAAUCUAUUUGAAAUUGACUUUCUAGCAUGCUAUUUCUAACUAUCCUUUUCACAGAUGUAAGCAUUACAUAGGAGUUGAGCCAUAUUGAAAUAAUAUCAUAAAAUAUGGAGUAAAAUUGUACACAUAUACCAUAUGUCCUGUCCCAUCUCACUCCCCUGAAUUGCUGAUAUUGGAAAAUAUUUUUCUAAAAGUAGAACAUUAUUUGCUUGAUAAAUUUUAACAAUUGUGUGAAUUGCCAUUUUUGUUUGUGAAAAAUACCAGUCUUCUGAUCUCUUUUUCCUUUUAGUUGUACAUGGCUCAGUCUAACAAAUUUUGAAUAUAGAUUCCAUAUAGUUGUAACUCUAAUCAAACCAUAUUUGAAAGCAACAUUCUAGACUGUGUUUCUCUGCAAGCAUGACUUCACAAAUGAAAUAAAACCAAAACUCUUAUUAUAACAGAGAGUAAAAUGAAGGUAGCAACAGUCAUUUUGAAAACUGAUUUUAACAGUGAUUAACCACUAAUUUUUCAAAGACUGUGGAAGCCAUUUUGAGCUGUAGAAUGGAGAGGGGAUAAGAAAAAUCAAUACAAGGAAAAUGUAUCUGUCAUUAAUAAAGCCUAAAGAUACUGUUAAGACCAAUACCCUCUCCACCUUUCUAUUAUCACAUUCCACUGAAAAGUGUUGGAAAAAAAUCAGCCAGCUUCUACUAGAACUACAUGUCCAGAUGAGCAAGUCUGUAAAUAAUUAAAAGAAUAAACUAGAGUAGAAAAAACAGAGUGGGUAGGUGGUUAACCACUCAAAAUAUUGAAUAUGUCAAAACCAAAAAACUAAAAGAGGGAAAGGAACUUUUCUUCAAAAGAAGAUACUUUCCAUCCUUCACCAGAGACACAGAUUUGUAAAUGUGAUAACAGAAGCCCUUUGGAUAUGGUUGGUGGAAAGAACACUGUCUUCAUAAUGGCUUCACUAGGUAUUCAGUUGCCCAGGGCAAUUUGAUCAGAAUGUCCUUGUUUCUAAAAUUGUGUAAACCAAAUCAAGAUACAGGAAACAGAGUUUAAUAUUAACUUUUAGAACAAGGAACAGGGAGAUGCUUUUAUGCCAUAGUCCUGGUGUUCAUUCCAAUCUCAUUACUGCAGUGGGUUCUGAAAGCAUUUACAACUUUCUGCAGAGAGUGACUUUGGCUGAAUCCUGAAGAUGGAAAUAUAGCUUAAUGACCUGGAAUAUAGAGUCUUCCUUAAUACAGAAUGUUUCACCAUCACUAACUUGAUAUUCCUCACAACAUUUCUGGCUGGCCUGGCCUCCUAUGACCAGAGACUGCUGACUCAUCCUGGCCUGUGCCAAGCUGUGCAGUCGCUUAGUGAUGUGGACAGGAGUCGAAGGACUAGAAUGAGAUCACUGAACUCAUUUCACUUGUUGCUUACGGUACAGUCCAGCAUGAGCUGGAAAUGUAGGAACCUCAGCCUCCCGAGCAGAAAGAGUAAGUAGAUUAAACACACCGCAUCACCAAGUCCUCAACAAGCAGUGGACGGGUGGCGGGUGGGAGCUUGCUUUAUCAUGGCCGUGGCUAGGGCAUUCUGGUUCAUCAGGAGUUUUCCUUUGUCCUUUCUUCUUCCUCUCCUUCAGUCACACCCCCUUCCCCCUUUCCUAAACUUCCCUUCUGAAAAUGUCCGGAUGGUACAGCAAUGAUCUGGGCAGAAAUGAAAUUUUGCUAAUAAGCAGCCUCUGCACAAAAGCCCUGGAACAGUCACACUGCUGAAACUUCUUAGUUUAGUCUCUACUGGGAACUCACAUGAACUUCCCAACAGAUUUCAAGGGGAUGAAAAAACUUUUUGUUGUUGUUCUUUUUUCCUUCUUGAUUCUCUUUUUCUUUCUGUUUUGAGGGAGGUAGUUUCAGGAGACAUAGCUGAAUUCUGGUGUGGUGUAAAGUUUUCCGUUGGGAGACAAUAAUGUACAUUCCUCUGGCAGGACGGGAUGGGUUUUUUUUUGUUUCUCUUGCUGUUGUUUAUUUAUAAGACAUUUCCUCUCAGUUAGUGGAAGUUAGAUCGUAAGAGGCUCCAGUGAUUUUCCUUCCACCUCCCCUCCCUAAUUUCUGUGCUUCAGCACUCUGGAACACUGUGAACUCGACAAACUAAUCAGAGCAGGGAGUUUAACGGCCUGGCCUGGACACUCUCAAGAGACUGUGCUGAUUCUCAGUCAUCACUCCUUGGAUCAGGAACCACAGUCCUGGUGAGUUGUGAGGUUCCAAAAUUUGAUGUGUCAAGGAUUCUGUUCUUGGUGUCUCUGAGGCAGGCAGGAAAUAAAGGGUGUUUUUAAAAACAAAAACAUAAUUUCUUAAAGAAAGCUAGCAAACAGAACGAUGAAGAUUUCUAGUGUGCAAAGCUGAGAGCACUCUGGACAAUGGCAGAGGCUGGAGUCUAUGCUCAAGAGAGGCUGCAGGCAUAGGUUUUAUACUGCCACACAUGGCUGUCAGCCUUGACAUGCCUAGCAAACAUGCUUGUGGAAGAAGAGAGAUAGGUGGGGGGAGGGGGAGGGAAGCAGUAUUCAGGAUGGUAGGAGGGGAAAUGAAAGUGGGAUUAAUUGUAUAUUUGAAGUUUCCCUCUACCAACUUUUCACGUAUCUCUGUUCUCAACAUUUAUGUUGUAUUCAGAGCACCUACAUGCCCAGCUAAACAGAACAAAACAAAACAAAACAAAGCAAGAACAUAUAUAUAGUAUUUUUUACUGAUACUAUUCUAAAGAUCACUUUGGUAAGAACUGGUUGCUUUUAAAUGUUAGGAAACCUCUCUCCACCUGACCCUUAAUAAAAUAUUAUUUGUCAUACCCUUUUCUUUGUUCAUCUACAUUCAUGGUAUUCAGCAAGAGAAUGCAGUGAGAAUCCUUAUUUGGUCCCAGGGAAAUUCAUCAUCCUGACAUAGGAAAACUAGAUGACUGUCCUGAUGGUAUUAAACACAAAUAUAGUAUUGUCCUCAAUAUAAGAGACUCUGAUUGAGUAGGCUCUGGGAGUUGUCAAAGGAAUGGAAUGGGAGGAGUUGUAUCCUAUCUGAUAGGAGUCUAGCAGAGGAGCCACCAGUUAAGCUUUCACAGCCAAUAUGAGAAUUCCGUAUCAUUCCUAAUAACUCUUACUCUCCCUGGAAGUGAAAUGUCAGGUGGAGGGUAUGCUUGUCUUUUACCAUCAGAUCCCUAGUUAGUGCUUUUCUCCAGGUAUUUAAUCUUAUUGUGCAUUCUUGUCUCCUUUCUAAUUUCAAGAAUCUGGCGUGUUCCAAAAUAUUCUGUGGGAAAAAAACCAAAAAAAUAAAAACCAAAAAAAAUGGUGGUCAUAAAAGCAUUUGACUGUGUGGCAGCAUCUGAAGUGAAUUGCUCUUUGGAGAGGGGAAGGAGCCUUUGAUGUCUCCAAUAUGGCUCUCAUAGGCGAAAACUUCCCAGAACCACAACCCAGCCUAAGGGGCACUAACUCGAUGUUCUUAAAUAUUUGAAAAGAGAUGCUAUUUUGUUUUACUUGUCUUUGCUAUUAACACAUUGCCAGUAGAUUCCUUCUAGAGUUAGAAGUGCUUUAGCAUUAGUUGAUUUUACAUUUAACCAGAUGUGUAAUGUAUAUGCCUAUUGUGUGUACUCUUGUCCAAGCUGGUGCAAUGAACCAAUAUGUAACACUGGUACUUCGCUGUGGAAAAAAAAAAUCUUUGUUACUCUGGGCAGUUCAAAUUCUUAAUCGUAGAACUCACGAAUGCUCAUAUAUUCCAAGUGCCUUAUGGAGACUAACCCCUGCUACAGCCUCAUCAGGGUCUGUCAGUAACCUUUAGGACAAAGAGUCUCCCUCUUAGAGCAAUUCCUUAAUUUGUGAGAUUUAUCAAAUUUCUCAGCCAUUGCUGUCAUAGGAAGCAGUUUUAUUAGGUCUACUAUGCCAAAAACUGAAUGUACUCUAUUCUACAAUAGUAAAGCUUAUCCAUUUCAGUUAGCCCAUGUUAGUUAUGACUGCCUCACUAUUGACAUAUAAUGGUUCUUCCAUUAUUUCUCUUAUUUUCUAAAGAAAUAAGUUGGGGGAAAUGGUUUAAAAAUUGUUAAACAUAGUGUAAAAAUGGAACUAACUCUUAGGCCAUGACUGCCAAGAGUUACAUAGGACAUUGUGCCAAACUCCUUUAAGGAUAAGACUACUCAAACUCCCAGCAAAAAUGUCUCUUAGUCCCAGGUAGGGCCUUAUGAUCAGUGUGGACUAUGUUGAAGCAACCUAGUUCUCUUAACACUUUGACAAAUUUUUAUUCUAGAAAGCUACAACUGCCUAGAAGACAUGAGGCAGAGAAUAGGCAAAUACCAGUAUCUGAGAAUACCAGUAUGUUCCAAGAAAUGACAUUUGAAAAACCUAAUCUGCCUGAGAGAUUUUCCUUAUGGUUACUAUGAUCUGAAAUUCUACAUGGUCGUGGAAGAAUUUCAUGGCUAAGUUGAAGUAUAUAAGAAGUCAUAAACAAAACACUGUGUUUCUUUGAGUUUAUAUGGGUAUAUUGAUAUUACCUGAUUUUUUUAAGUACCUAUGUUACACAGUAUACAAGCAAUAAUUCAAUUUUCCAGUGUUCAUCUGGAAAAUUUAAUUUCAUUAAAUUAAUGAGAAUGUAUGUUUUAAGGUAUGUAUGUUCUUGCAUGUGUGUUUUAGAUGUAAGCACUUUGUAUAUUAUAUUCAUUUGAUUAGACAGUUAUAGUUAUAUGCAACUGAAAUUCUAAAUAACAAAAUUGUGAUCACCCCAAUAAGAAAAUGUUCUUCCUCAUUUGUAUAGGAAUGCUUUUUUAUAUUUUUGUAAUACUCUAAGAAAGAGACAUAUUUUUAAAAUUUAAAAAGGAUUUAUUUAUUGUGUCAUAUGAUUGGGUAAAUAUAUCAUCUUAGAAGUGCAUAUAUGAGUAUAUAUAUAUAUGUAUGUGCAGAAUUACAUACUUAUAUUCAAAUAUUUGAAAUAUGACCAAAUAUUAGCCAUAAUUAUUUAUGAUUUCAACAAAAUAUUUUUAAAAUUGACCAGAAGUGAAGUGCACAUUUUAUCACAUUGAGAAGGUGGAAAAUUUACACAAAUAUUUUUGAAGAGUAUCUGCAAAAGAAAGAUUUGAUUAGUUGAUAAGUUUGGUAAUUACCUUCUUUUAAUAAAUAGGUCAGAUUAUAAACUUAAAUUCUAUUAUAUGCAACUUCAAAAUGUUAAUUGCUAUAUCUAUAAAGUAUUAAAGUUAAGGAAGAUGUUGUUAAUAAUUAUCUUAAAAUUGAGAAUAUAUUUAAUGAAUUCACUUUUGUGAGAAUACAUAUACAAAUGACCCAGUUUAUUCUAGUUUCUCAGCCACUUAAUUCUAUAUUAAAUACCUUGACACAGUACUUCAUUUACAUAUCAGCUUCAGCAACUAUAAUUUUCCGGAUAUCUUUGUAAGAUAAACAAGUCAUAUCCUGUGAAGUCACACUUUGUCUCUGAAGCUUUCCAUGAUAACCCAAACUAAAAGUGACCUGACAAUUAUAGUAUUUUAAAAAUUAAAAUAUAUCAUUUAUAUGCUGCCUUGAAUUGAAAUUUGUUUAUGUGUAUAAAACUGCAAGUGGUUAAAGAGCAGAUAUUGUAUUUUAUGUUUAUUUCUGUCUUCAAAUUGCUUCAUUGAAUGGAGGAUCACUGAAUAGGUGAUGAAUGAAUGAAUGAAUCUCUACAUGUCAGGGCAUCAACAGCAAAUACAUAUUUAUCAUAAUGGAAGAAACAUAUCCAGAAAAAGAAACCAAUAGAUUCUUCUUUCAGCCGCUCAAAAACCUCAUAUUAGAUCUUUCAACUAGUUGUUAUAGCCAUCUCCAGCCUUUAGCUGAGGUAGAUUAUCUAAUCCCCAAAAAGCUUAGGUAAUUUCUGAUGAAACAUGGGGGUUUUGAAUUUAUGGCAGUCCAUUCAUUUCCUAGGACUUGUGAGGGUGACCAAAUACCUAGCUUAGUUUGCUCAUGUAAUUUGAACUACCAGACUUACCUAAAAUGUAUUAUAUUAAUGAAAAGGCCUCUCCAGGUUAUAAAUAUUUGCUUACACCAAGUCAGUAGUUCUUCCUUUCCUCAAACUCAACAUCUAAGGAACUCAGGCUGAUGUCAGAUGCAGAAAUACAUAAAGACUGGCUAUAAAUGCCCUGUGAACUAGACAGAGAAGAGGCAGGGCAGACAGCACAAUAUAGAGCAGAGGCAAGAGGACAGGCAGCCAAAUCAUUUGUACUAUCUUAACGAGCACUAAUUAAAUGCCCUGUUUGAGAUAAAUAAUAGCUGAAAAUAGCCAAGCUCAAUUGUUUCUGAUCAAUGAGUAGAGGAAUUGGUAGAAUUGCUUGGUGCAGCUUUUAUCAUUAAGCCGUAGCACACUAAGACAUCUUCAAAGGAGAGGGACAAAGGAAAGUUGAGCCAGUCUGUACUGUACCAUUUGCCAUGUCCUCAAUCCAGCACCAAAAAUAGUACCCUGCUGAUAUAAAUCAAUCACAUCCAGAGAAUAACUUCAUGUAUUACAAACUAACUCUAAUAAACAAUAAUUAAAAGAAACAAAAAUAUUGUGUAAACUAGGCUUUAAUAUCAUCUGUUAUCAGUGAUCAAUUAAGUUGACAAUCCCCCAACUACUCCUGAACCAAACCAAAUUAUAUUUCAGAGCUUCUAAUACAUAUAUAAAAGGGAUAUUUGUUUUUAUUUCUUCAUUUUCCUUGCUUACUCUCUAGUAAACUGAAUUCCUAGAUAUAAGCAGCCAGAGGGAGAAAGAGAAUUAAUUCACAUAAUAAAUAAUUAACCCUUGAACAAUAUAAAGUUAACUCUCCAAAGACAUGCCAAAAACUGAACUGUUUUUGUUGUUGAAUUUGUUCUCCUUUGGGUGUUAACACAUAGAGGACAUUUCCAUUAGCACAAACUUGGCACCAUACAACCUGUUCGUCCUCAAGCUAUAAAUACCACACUCACCUUCCAGUUCUUUCUGGCAGGAUUUGUAGUAUAAUGUCCUCCUGGGUAGUCAUGUACAAAUCACUCCGAGGGCAAAAUUGUAUGAGUGCCUAAUCCACUUUUGAAAAUGAAAGAAAAGGAUCUGUUUUAUGAAAAACACCAAACACAGAAAGACAUAAAUUGUAAUAAAAAGUGUUAGCACCUUGCACCUCCUCCUAAUUGCCUUCCCAGGCAAGAGGAAACAAAAUAGUAUAAUAAAUGUUAGAUCAUAAGCAGAGUGCAAAGAAUGGACUCUGCCUUUCAAUAGUGAAUUGAACAAAAAAGAGCAAACUUUAAGCCAUCUAUGUAUAUUUAGUUAAGGAUCCUAAAUUAAGGGACUUAUCUAUCUCAUUUGUCUAAGGAGGAUGAUAGUAUCCCUUGACUCACUAGUAUUGUUCCAAAGAUCAAAGUAUAAAUAGACUAUUUCUCCAUUACAUUCAUUAAAACUACACUUAACAUUCAUCCAUGAAAAUUUUUUUUUUUUUGGUAACGGAGAUCGAACUUGGGACCUUGCACUUGUGAGGCAGACGCUGGAACCACUGAGCUAAAUUCCCGGCCCACGAAACAUUUUUGAACCCCUAUAGUCAGUUAUUUGUCUAGAAGCUAAAAUUGAGUGAUUUAUUAACAAAUAUUUAUUGAGGAAUUCAAAAUAUGUGCCAGGCUGAAGAUCCUAAAGUUAAUAAAAAAAAAAAAAACAGAAGUCUCUGUUCUCAUAGAACUUAUUUUCUAAAGAAUGAUAAACAAAUACAGUGCAUAUGUAAAAUAUGUAGCAGAUUACUUGAGGAUAAGUACUGUGGAGAACUGUGGAGGAGGACAGAAAGAAAGAGAGGGCUAAGGCUGCACUUUCAAGUAGGGUAGAAUGGAAAAGUUUCAUUAAGAGCACAGUGUUUGAGAAAAGACUUCAUUAAGGGCUAACCAAGUUAAUGGCUAUCUAGGCAAGAAUAUUCAGCAGUGGAACCAUCAGCUGCAAAGGCCUUGAACAAGAAUGUGUCUGGUUGAUCUCAUAGAAGUUGAGCGAAGAAUGGUUAUUUGUCAGAGGCCAGGGAGAAUAGGGGAGAGGAAGGAAUGGGGAAAGUUUGAUCAUUGGAGACUAAAUUGCAUUUAGAUAGGAACAAGAAGUUCUGGUGUGCUGUUGCCAGUGCCCUGACCAUUGAUAACAGUUAUGUAGUGUAUAUUUUAAAAGCUAGAACAAAGGUUUAUUUUAAAAAAAUGUUUUCACCAUAAAGAAAUGAUAAAUGCUUGAGGAGACAUGCUUAAUCUGAUUUAAACAUUGUAUAUAGUAUACAUGUAUUGAAACCUCAUGGUAUCCCAUUAGUAUACACAGUAUAUGUUUUAUAUAUUAGUAAAAAUAAAUUUAAUUUAAAUUUUAAAAUAAAUUUUAAAACUCAGAUAAAUACAUAUAACAAUAAAGUGCUAUACCACACAAAAAGGAUAUAUCUGCCUAGACACCAUGGCACAUGCCUGUAAUUCCACCUACUCUGAAGGAUGAAGCAGGAGGAUCACAAUUUCAAGACCUGCCUGGGCAACUUAAUGAGACCACGUCUCAAUAUAAAUUUAAAGGGACUGGGGAUAUAAUGUAAAAUAUAUAAUUGUUACGUAUUUAUAUUUUUAUGUUUAUAUUUUAUAAAAUAUAAAAUUUUAAAGGGACUGGGGAUAGUGCCAAGUUCAAGACCCUGGAUUCAAUCUCCAGUACUGGAAAAAAAAAAUGUAUCUUGCAAGUUUGAGUGAUUAAGGAAAUCUAGAUGGCACGAUUAGAUUGGGCAAACAGAAGAUCAAAAGAUGUGGUAAUGGAAGCAGUGAGGGACUCCUCAACUAGGUCUGUAUGUGCUCUUUGAAGGUUUUGGCUUUGUCACCAACAACACAGAGAUUAAAUAGGACACAGCCUUAAAUUCCUUUCCAUAGGAGAGAUAGAAAAAAACUCAGAAUAAUGUGGUAUGCUGAAUAACAUACCUGAAGGAUGUUCAGGAACCUGAGAGGCACAAAAUAGUGACUAUUUAGCCGAAUGUAUCUUAGAGUGAAGAGUCAGGGAUAGUUUCACAGAAGAUGUAAUAAAUCCUUGCUGGGCCUAAAGGAUAUUCCCAGGUGGUCAGAGGGAGGAAGAUAAUUCAGUAAGGGGACUAGGAGGGCCAAAGGUACUUUAAUAGGAAACAGUAUUGUGGAAUUGGGGAACAGUAUCACUGAUGUUUAGCAGGGGAGUGGGAAGAAGUGAUGCUGCUGUAUAUGUAGGCAGGGAACAAUCAGGUCGGGCCUUGAUUGCCAGGCAAAGAUGUUUUAGCUUCAUCUUGUAGCAUUUGGGGACCCAUUGAAAGGUUUUAAGUAGAGAAGGUUAAUGAUCACAUUGCGUUACAGAAGAUCACCCUGGCAGCAGAGUGGACGAUAGUUUAUAGGAGUGGGAGAAUAGAGGCAGGGAAAUGAGUUAGGAGACAACUUAAAUUGUUAGGACAGGAAGCAAUGAAGCCCUGAACUAGGACAAUAACUAUGGGAAUAGAUACAAGAGGAAGAGACAUGUUCAAGAGAUAAGAGGCUGAAUAGACACAAUUUAAUAACCUUUGGGCUGGUCAUCAAGAGAAGAAGGAAUUUUCGAUUGCUCCCAGGUUUCUGCCUUAUACAACUAAGCAAGAAAAGUGAUUAGCAGUAGAUCUUAUACAGAGAAUAAAUUUGCUUUUGAAGGUAUUUAAUUUGGGGGGGUUAGGGGGGCCUCUAGACUAAUGUCAGGUAGGUACUGUAGUUGGAUUUAGUCAGAAAUACUGGAGAGAGGUCAGGAGCAAAUACAAAAGGUUGGCAAUAUUCUGAAACAUCAGCGUCAUGGUGGGAGUUAAAAUUAUGGAGUGGACGUUUCUCCAGUGAUAUAUAUGGAAAGAUGACAAAAGAAAGCAGAUCUUGGGCUGGGGAUUUAGCUCAGUGGUUCCACCACCUGCCUCCUAAGUGCAGGGUCCCGAGUUCAAUCCCCAGUACCAAAAAAAAAAAGCAGAUCUUUGGAGUACACCACAUUUAUAGAACGAAGAGAGAAAGAGGAGGCUUCAGAGAAGAUUAUGUGCUAUUUAUUAUGUGCCAGUCACUAUGGUAGGUGAAGGGGGAGCCAAGAUGAUUGGCCCUAGAUCCUGCCCCAGAAAUACCCACAGUUGCAUAAAUAUUAGAGGUUGUUUUUACUAUCACCAUAGGACAAAGCUACCAGAGGAAAUGCCCAAGUGUAAUAAUGAAAGUUGUACCAAAUAUUUAAUUAGCAUCAGGGACAUUUUUAUAAAGGAAGAAUCCUAGAAAGUCCGUUGCUUGCAUUUUUGCUAUACAGUUCAUUUCUGAUUUCUCUAAUGCUUGUAUGUGUAUGUUCCAGUGUUAGCAUGGGUUCAAGCUAUUGGCAAAACAAGCCAGGUGUAAAUUAUGGUAGAAUUGAAAUCGAUAGCGCUUUGAAGCACUGGAGUGCCCAGUUCACAUCAGGGCGUGCGUCUGUGUUCACUGAAACGUGGCUAUCAAGUGCACCCCGAGUCAUUAGAUGUGUUAUCCAGUGAAUAACAGCAUAAUGAUAUUUUAGCAGAGCAGCUUUAUGAUAAAUUCUGCUUUAGUGAAACCCCAUAUACAGAGCAAUUUCUCCUGGCCGUGUACAUUGCAUGGCAAAGAAAGGAUACCCUGCUGCGUAUCAGAAGGCUGUAAUUUCAUUUAGGGGUUCUAUUGACAUCGUAAACUGCAAGAGCAGAGCUCAAGUGGCUAUUUAAGUCAUAGGAACUUCAAGCUAAAAUUACUGCCUGGUCCUAACCGCCACCUCCAAGGGACUCCUGCCUAUACAUGUAUGCUUUAUGUUUCUAUCUUGAUGCCUAUAAAUACUAAGUCACUCCAGGGGCUGAGGUGAUAAGCUGUCCUAAAAUAUGACAGAUAUCUGUCACCUUUGUAGCUGUUACAUGCUUAAGGGCUAAAAGCAGUUAUAUUAUUGAUUGAAGGUCAAAUGAUAAAAGGGGCAAGACACCAGCUGCCCCUACCCCCACAGGUUCACUGUACACAUGUUCCUCUUUUUAUGCUUUAAGAUACUUUCAAAUCAAGGUCUUCCAGCAUACUGAACCUAGGGGAAAAAAAAGAAAUUUUAGGUUUAUCUGUACAGUAGCAUUUACAGCCUGUGUGUUCUUGCCCUAUUCCUUCCCCCUUUGCCUUGACAUAUACUCACUUGUGAAAAUAACAGUACUAGUCUUAUUCCGUAAAAUACAAGUUAUAUAGUAUCCCAUGAAAUUGAUUUCCUAGAUAUAUAACAGGGACAUUGAGAUAUAUUCAAAUAAAAAACAGGAAGCCAUAAUAAUUUAGCUCAAUGUUUAUGCUCUAAGGAAUUUCAAAUUGCUGAAGAGUAUUUAUUAGAUGAUCCUUUGGACUUGUCUAAUAAGGAAAAUGCAAAAUUAAAUGUUUCUCUUUGGAUUUAAUGAAAAUUUCAUGCACAUGUCCCUACAUGAACAAACAACUUUUUCAAUAGAGGGUUGUACAAAAUUGAACCACAGUUUAACCUUCUGUAGUCAUUAUGCCAAUGGUGUUUUACUUGGUCAUUCUCUUUCCUGGUCUUAGGAUUUAUUUGUCUACAUUCUGUUUUAAUAAAAAUACCAGCUGAUAAUGAUGGAAUAUAUGACUCUUCAUAAUGUAACUGUUUUUUAAAGUCAUCUUGUUAAUCCUUACACCGCCCUGUAGAGAAGGGAAGACAUGGAGAGGAAGGAGUCCACUCACUGAACUGACUGAAGCUAAAAUUUUUAGUUUUUAUGUUAGCCUGUUUGUUGUUCCAGUACUUCAUCACAAUAUUUUUUGUUGCUUAAAUACUACAAUUAAAAAUAAGGUCUAUAAAAGCUAAAUCUCUCUCAUCUGUUACCAUGAUACCUUCGUUAUAUACCUAAAUAACAUAAUAUGCCAUUGUCAUGUUUCUGAGAAGGGCUACUGCUCUGCUAAGAAUAUCCUCAAAUCUUGUGUUAUCUACGGAAAUAUAAAGCAUACAUAGUAUGUGGACAGAGCUAAGCCUCGAAAUGAGGGAUUGCAACUCUCUUACUGUUCUCCCUAGUUUAGCAUGUAUAUCAGCGUGAUUAAGAGUGUAGACUUAAGAGCUAUGUGACCUUGGGAAAGCUGUUUAAUUCUCAGUGCCUCAAUUUUUUAAUCUGUAAAGGAAUGGGAGGAGAAUGCUAGUCAGAAGUUAAUUUUUACCAUAAAAUUUGUGUGAGGAAUAAAUAAUCUAAUGUAAAAUAUUUAAACCAGUAUCUGACGUAUAGUAAACACUCAAUAAACACUUGCUGCUGUUUUCAUCAUCACAAAUAUCAUCCUUCUCAUCAUCACUUACUCCUGUGCUAUAGGAUCAUGGUUUAUAUGUUAGGAAAAGACCUACAUCCAUAGACAAGACACACACACACACACACACACACACACACACACGCACCCCACAUACACAUACACCUAGGAAUGCUUGCUUGGCUCACUUGUAGGCUGAAGCUUUACCUAUAUGUUAAUGUCAUCACCCUAAUCAGAGAACAAGGAGUCCAUCCUUUGGAUAAAAUGUGCUUGGUACUGAAUUUAGCCUGAACACAGUUUCAAGCCCUUGAUACAAAAUCAGUCCAUUGCUGGGCCUCAGUCCUAUUACCCUGCCCACACUGGUUGCUCUCAUUUAAUUGCUUGAGCCCUUCAUGCUUAUUUUCUUUCAAAACUACAAAUUCUGUUAAGCAUGGUCUAAUCCAGGUCUAUUGAUCCAUUCACCAUUAUAUUUCCAGUCCAAUAAAUAAAUAUAGGAAAAUGAAUGAAUGAAUGAAUGCCUCUUUCAUUUCCAGCCUUCUGCCUUAAUCCGUAGUCCUGGAUGCCUGAUGUGCUAAAUGCUGACCUUAUUUUCUACCUAAGCCAAUCUAUUCACUAUUUUCAGUUAUUCCCAGUCUUCUGGUCCAAACUUUCGUAAUUACUUUGGUUUUCUUGCCGGAUUCCAAACACUCAAAAGCAAUAUGCAGUCAAUAUACCAACCCUGCCCACUGCUUCUUCUAUUCCUUCAGGAAACCAUGAAUACCACUCUUAUGCCUCUUACUGUGUUUUGCUUAUGUUCCCUUUCCUUUGGAAUAUGAAUUUUAGUCUUAUAAAUGAUUCAUUAUCCAUCUGCAUUUUAAUCUGAUGCCCUUGGUUCGAACCUUGAUUCUGAUCAUGUUAUCCUUCUCUCAAGGAUGAUACAGUUUUUAUAGUUUCAUUGCUGAGAUUAGUAAUUAGAUACUAAAAUCAACUGGAUAGAAAUUAUUAGCCUAAUAUUUUGCAUCCAAAAAGCAAUAAAGGAUGGUAGUGAAUGUUCAGAAAUCUGCAUCAUGGUAGCCUACAAUAUAAAAGUAUAUGGAAGACUUCAAGAUAGAGGAAGAACUUUAGCUGCAAAUCUAAAAGCUUGACAUUGAAGGAUGAAGAAAUAAAAGGACUUUAGAAGAGAAGCGAAGUUGGUAGCCAUUAGUGUGAUUUGGAAAAAAAUAGGGAAUCAGGGAGAACAGAGAAAAAUUUCAACCAGUUGGAAUGAAGUACGUAGAGGAAGUAGUGAAAUUAGAAAUGAAAUCUACAUUGCUGGCUAUUAGGAUAUGAACUUGCAAAGUCAGGUGGACUCCAGCAUUUACCCUUUGUGAGUGAUGAGAACAAAGACUGCCAUAUAGUUACAAUGCAAUAAUCAUUUGCUAAAUAAUUGAAACAUUUUACAGAGGCAAGCAAAAAUAAUGAAAGCAGUGUUUUAGGAGUUAACCUGACUACAGUGUACAGAGCACAUUGAGAGGUUUGAGACCACUUAAAGAUGCUGCCUGAGAAGCAGCUCUAGUAACUUAGAUACAAAAUAAUAGAAAAAUCUAAUAAAUCAUGACUAAGAAAAUAGUGAUAUUUCAGAAAAUAUUAACAGCACUUUCCUAUGUUUCUUCCCUACCAGCCCUAAUCCUAGUCCUGCCUAACUGUAAUUUUAACUGUAAAAUACUUUCUAAAUGCCUGGGUUUCUUUGCCUUUAGAUGUGAUUUUAGUGAAGUCUAUUACCCCUCAUGGGGCAGGGCUACGUUGAACACUGAGCUCUCAGGCUCACUCCAAUCUCUAACCAGAGUGAAUUGUAUCGUUUUAUGUUCAUAAACAACUCUCAGAGUUUGACAGCUUUGAGCAUAAACUCAGAGGACUCAUGGACUUUUCUAGGUUUCUGUUUAUGAGUGCCUGAUAUGCAAGACUCUACCAGAGAUUUUGCACACCAUAGAGUGCUGCACUGCACAGGGGGAUUCUGGAGGAGCAUUCAUUCCAGGUUCUUAAAUAUACUGUCGGUGUAGUUAAGAUGCCAUUCAACUAGAUCAGCACCAAAAGGAAACUACAGGAGAGAGCAUAUUCCAGCAGAGAUUUUAAGACCAUACCAAGCUCUGUCAUAACUCUGAGACAUUCCUCAAAAUCUCAAUAGUACCUUGGGACUUCCUGAGAAAUAGUGCUCAUUAAAUUGCUUUUACUAUAUGCCUAGUUCGCCCAUCUUUACCUUCAUGCAUCCAGUUUCCUUCUUGGAUAGUUCUGACACUUUUGGAAGACUAAGAAUUCAACCAGUAUAUGACUUCUUUAUUCUGUAUGACUUCUAUUGAUCAAAAGUUACAUGUACACUUUUCCUUGUUCCUCUCUUAAGGCAAGUAACCUAUUUUUUGGUUGAGUGAGUGCCUUCCACUGUGUCUUUCUAGGCGGGACUCUGACUUAGUUCUCUUUACCUUCUGGGAUCAACAAAUAUAUCCCACAAUAGAUCACAGUGUAUAUCUGUAGACUCUUCUGACUUCAUGGAUUUUAAACAUGAGCAGACCACUAUGACUUUUGCAUCCUACAUUCUGGUUUUUUUUGUUUAUUUGUUUGUUUGUUUUUAGUACCAGGGAUCGAACUCAUGACCUUGUACUUGAGAGGCAGGCAUGGUGCCACUGAGCUAAAUCCCUGGCCCUACAUUCUGUUUUUAUAAUGUGGAAGGUGCCUGCUAAAUGCCAAACUCUGCUACUUCCCCAGCUAGUCAGUCUCAGACCUAAUUUUGCCCAUCAGUUGGGAUAGAGAAUGUGAAAUUGCCACCUUUGCUUGUCAAACCUGUACGUUUGCACAGUGCAGAGUAGCACCACUUACAGGAAGAGUAUUUGGAAAAUUAAGCAGGGAUUGUGUGAACAGGAGACCUAUCAUCAUACACUGGAAUGACAGGAUUCUGCCCACAAACUGGGGUUAAGACCUACAUAUUGAUGGUCCUUUUCACCCAUUUGUGAGUAAUGGGUCUCACCCCAUUAGCGGGUGCAUGUGUUACACAGUAGAAGCUGUUAUGCAUUCUCUGUAGGUCUGUGUGAGGGAACUGUAGAUACACAUAAAUGUGUACUUGUUGACAUAUCUACAUAUUUAUCUGCCUGUUCGUAGGAGCAGACAGGGCAUGGCUCUUUGACAGGCAAGAACUAAAGGUCGAUGCUACACUCUUGCUGCUGCAGCCUCUGCUGCUCCUGCUGCUGCUGCCGCCAUGGCUGUGGUCGCUGUGGCUUUAUCAUUUGACUCCUGGAGGAGGCUGGCGCAGCUUCUUACUUGUUCCCACCUAUCCUGGAAGACUGGUGCUGGCCUCUGAUAUAAUUAAAGACACCUGUAAAAUGUUGACUCCUAAUGUUCUUAUGGCCAACAGAGAUGGACUGUCCAAAGUAUGCUCACCUACCCUAAUCUAUAAUCUAUAUUCUUUCAUUUGUUUCUCAAGAGUCCACAUAUCUUUGCUAUCUCCAGACACUGUUUGUUAUGCUGUUUUGAUGCUGCCCUAUAAAUGUAUUUCCUGCUGCAGGAUGCACCCUUCACUGUGUCUUAGCCUCUGCCCCACUCAGGAGACAAAUUCUUUCCCAGUAGGAAAAAUUAUUACGCUUCAAGCUUCUAAGGAAAAUAGUCAACUAAACAAAAUGCUUAUUUUAGCAGCACUCAUCCCCCUACAGCUAUACACAUCACUGACCUUCAUAAUCUCACUCUAUAGUAUUCCUUAUGAGGAAAAGGAUUUUUUUCCCCAGAUUUUAAGAUUAUUUUGAUAGUAAACUGAAUUUAAGGUUACAUUGUAUAUAGUGGACCAAGACAGGGAAACAGACUUGUGUUUUGAAUGUAGGCCCAAUUGCCAGUUUAAUUUGAUAAUAGAAAUUAAUUGUGCAAUCCUGAAUGUAACUACAAUACACCCACAAUUAACAGGUUUUUUUAUAGUCAUUGUCCUUCCCUCUCCUGCUUAAGAGGACAUAGACCAUUUUUCCCAAAAAUUCAAUUUUUCUCAAGACUGUGGAAUUAUUUCAAAAGAAGUAACAGGAAUAUUUUUGUUUCUUCGUUAGUUGGUUUGAUAUCUAUUUAAUAGACGGAUAAAUAAAGGUACCCAGAAGUGAGUUCAUCUUAGUGUUUCUGACAGUGUCUUUCUAAAACAUAAGUGUAAAAAGGCAGAAGAGCUUUUUCUCAGACUGAAUUGGUGAAGAAACAGACUAACUUAAUCAGAGAUGAGAUGAUUUUAAAGGGCUUAUUUCUGUGUUACAAAAAGGUAUGAUGCAGAUGUUUCACUAAGAAGGACAAAUACUAGGCUCAAAUGCAGAGAUCCUUUUUCCUGCUUAUUUUUGUCUAGGUUGCUUUGUUGUUGUUGUUGUUGUUGUUGUUGUUGUUGUUAAUAUUAAUAUCCUUGGGAUGAAAAAAGGCAGACUGAUUUUUCUAAAGUCACUUCCAACAGGAGAGAAAUUAGUAAUCUAAUCAACCGUACUGACAAACAAUGAAAUAAAAGUGGAAAAGGAAACUCUGGGCAGUUGAAGGCAGUUGACCAAGCAAUGAAUAUAAAGUUAUUUUAAAGGAACAUAUAAAUUUAUGGUUUGCUAUGAAAGUCUGCACCUGCUUAAGAGAAACAACAGAAACAUCAAAAUGGGUGAUUCAUUAGAAAUGAAAAAUGUUUCAACUUGAUGUGGCCAUGGUUUAUCUAGCACAGUGUUUCCCAAACAUCCAUAAUCCUAAGAAUCAUCAAGGUCACCUGAGAAAUACGCACAUUCCUAGUGUAACCCAGACCUAGAUAAUAGAAACUUCCAUGGAGGGAACUUGGCAUUUGGAUAUGAAAUCUAGUAGAAUAUUAUGAUUAGAGAAGUUUGGAAAAUAACUGCUCCAGGAGAUCUUUUUCAUAAUACAUAAACAGGGUAUAGGAUGUAUUACUUUAUUCCAUAUAAAAGUUAUCCUUCUGAAACAAUUCUCUCUCUUCUCUUCCCAGGAAUUAGAGGCAUUUCAAGUGAAACAAGAUUAUUUUUCUAGACCAGAAUUAUUUUUGCUUUUUAAAAAUGUCAUCUCUCUCCUUACUGCUCUAUCGUGGUGAGCUUAAGACUUUGUAUUUCCUUCCCUCUCACUUGUUACCCCUAUCUAAUGAAUGGUCAUCAUUUUAAAUAAAAGGCUCCAGAUAAGAAAUUUGGAGCUUAAGUUCUAGGUCUGGCUGGAACUCAGAGCUGUGUGUUCUUAUACGUUUAUGUACCUUUCAUCACUUUCAUUUUUACAUUUGAACAAUGCUCUUUGUAAAUCACACCAGCUGUACAUUGUUACAGAUAUUAAAUAUUUCCCACAAUCUUAUUGGCAAACCAUAAGAAUAUAUGAUGAGUUUUUGCUUGAUGGGCUAUAUAUUCAGGCUUACAUAUGCCCACAAGUACUCCUGUUAUUUACAGACUGUUCCCUAUUUCUAAAAUCAACUUGAGUCACAAUUUAAUCGAAGAUAACUCUUCAGAAAAUUCAUUUCCUAUAUCAUAUUGUCAGAAGUGUCUUUCGGGGCAGUUAUUCACAGGAGUUUGUCAUAUUGGAUAUGACAAGAAAAAGUUUAUUAUAAUGGAGACCAAUUUUUUAAGAGGAGGAGAAUGUAUGAAUGAACAAACAAGCUUGUGCCUAUUUUAGGUACUAACACUUUCAAGUCCAUGGAAGCAUGGAAGAGUAUAUUCUUCAGCUAAAUAUUGGAGAAGUUGCAGUGAAAAUAUUUUUUAAUACACAAAAAUGGUCAUGGCUGUGGCAUAACCAUUAACCCAAUGGUAAUUAUUAGUAACCAUUGGGCUGGGGUUCUAUAGAUAGAUAGAUAGAUAGAUAGAUAGAUAGAUAGAUAGAUAGAUAGAUAGAACUGCUUCAGAAGUUCAAAGAUGAAGAUAGAGAAGUAUAGUGGAGGAGUUUACAUUUCCUAAACUCCCUUGUCAGCUCAGCAUGUCUUCAGUGUAAAUACACAUGUGACAGUGGCCUAUACACUCAUUCACACUUCAGGGAACCCUGUGGUUUCCUUUACUCCCUCCAUUUUAGCAGUGGGCAGCCUGUAACCUUUUGAUCAAGCUGACUUUGUAUGCUACAUGACUGAACUCAGCUAUGCCAAACAUCCUUGAGGAAGUUGACAUUUGUGUACUUUGAAAGAAAAAAAAAGGAAAGUGAAUCCCAACUGCUUCCUCCUGCCCUUUUGAUUAAGAGAAUGGUAAGUCAGCAGGAGAGGUGCUGCUUUUAACAAGCAGGGGUGUGCAGCAGCUGAUUGGUAUCUUUCUUUGAAAAAAAGUAGAAAAGAUUGAUGUUAAACAACACUAAUCAGAGUUGAUUACAGUUACUGAAUGAAUUCAUUGAUGGGAAAGAGCCAUGGUUCCAUAGACAACAAAAGAGAUUAGAUAAUAGUCAGGGGAAUAGUAUUUGGAAUAGUUCUGCUCAUGUCUGACAACCAGGAAUCAGUGGCCCUAGCUUCUUAAUCAUCCCUUGAAAUAGGCAUGUGUGUACAAUAAGUGCAGUUUUCUGCUGGUGACAUUCUUCUCACUGAACUCUGCCUGGUGGGCUUUUUUCUCUGCAUUCAGGCCUUAUCCUUCCCUGAUCACCUCAUCUGACUUGGUACUUCCAUCACAUUCUGAGGGGGUCCAAAACCUCACCUCUUGUCCUUCCCAGACAUUACCCUGGGUUAUAUCUGGAACCAUCUGUAGUUGCUUGACUGGUCUGUACUGAAUUUUUUUAAUUUUCUGCUAUUACCUCUACCUCUCUUUUAUCUCUUUUUAUCCUCUUUAAUCUUUCUCUGGUCAACUUCUUCCAUUUCUCAAGUUUCAGCUAAAGUACUAUAUCCUCAAACUUGUUAUUGAGCUUUCUCAUUAAAAAUCAGGUUUGCACACCUUUCUUCUCCCACAGCUAUUAUGCUGAACUCAAUUACAAUGGCUUAUUACUCUUCAGUAUAGUUAGUUGGAUAUUUACUUUCCCAUCUCUCCACUAGACUGAAGUAUUUGAGGGCAGAAACUUUUAUCUCUGUGUAUCUAAUGUUAGCAAACUAUGCAGAACAUUUUGGAUGUUUAAUAUAAAUGAACAAAUGAAUGGAUACUCCCCACAUACCUGCAAUAAUUUUUCAAAGUCAUUACCUGAAGUAAAGAAAUGGAACCUACAGGAAAAAAUUCUUGCACAGAACCGUAACUCACUGGUUACCUGUUCACUAAGACACUCAAAAGACAAAGUAAAUAAGAAAUCAAAUUUAGGAGCUUUCUUUUGUGUGACUUUUAGGUUGUUCCAGUCAGCACUGACUAUAAAAUGAGGAAGUUUUGGGGGAAAUAGCUUACUAGACUGAUGUUACAGUUUUUGACCAGUAAAUGAAUGUGUGGUUUAUUUUACAAAAUGGACUGCUGCUAUAUUAUGAUCAGUAUUAGCCUAGUGUCAUAUUCUGCCUCAUGUUAAUAAUCGUAAAAAUACUGAAUAUAUCACUGAAUAUAUCAUAAAUAUUUUCUAAUUAAUUAAGCCAUUAUACUCAUUAUUUUUAAUAAUCUCAUACAUUUAAAGUCCUCAAGAAAUGUUUUCUUCUUAUGUAACAACAAGUGGACAUCUAGGUCUUCUCCAUUCAACAUCUGAAAAGUAGAAAAUAGAGGAAAUCACCCUAGGCUUUUCAAGAGGAUUCAUUCCAAGUACAGUAGUUCACAGUUGCAACAAUUUUAUGUCGUUUUAUAUUUUACUCUUAAUUCUACUUGAUUUAGAAAGGAAUAAAUAGCUGCUUUAUAACCUCAUAAGGAUGGUACAAAGCUAGAGAAGGAGGACCCUGAUGCAUUAGAUCUAAGGAUGUCAAAUACCAUUUUACCACAUUUGCCCUAACGGUAGUUCCCCCAAUGGCUAAAAGUCAGAGGAACUUAAUGGGAUUCAGGAACCAUUUCAUUAUUGCAAUGGCACUUUCAUUUCACUUUUUAUGAGAUUGUUCUUGCUUAGUUCUUAAAUACAUUUCCAGUGUUCAGAAAUAAAAACCGUAUUUUAAAAAGUCUUAGCUCUUUAAGGGAGCCAGGGAUUUAGCUCAGUGGUUCUGCCGCCUGCCUCACAAGCGCAAGAUCCUGAAUUUGAUCCCCAGUACCACCGCCCCCCAAAAAAGUCUUAGCACUUUCUCCACAGCCAUCUUUGUCCUCUUUUAUUCCCACUGGUAGCCAAUAUUAUUAAUUAAUUGCUAUAUACCCUUCCAGUGGUCUUAAAAUGUAGAGAAGCAAAUAUAUAUUUUCCCUCACCUCUUCACAUAAGAGUUAGUCCAAGUUUUAUAAACUUUUCUAAAUCUUGCAUUCUUUGAUAUAAUUUCAAUGCAUUUCUCAAUUUUGCAUUCUCCAGUAUUUCUUAAAGAUACUUCUAUAUCAAUUAAUCUUUUUUUAGUUAUACAGUAUUCUAUUAUAUAAAUACACCCAGGCCUAUUCUACUAAUCCCUACUAUUAAACAAUUCUUGUCACUUCAAAUAAUACCCUGGCAAACAACCUUGUACAUAGAUAAUUUCACAAAUAUGCAAGUUCAUCUUCAGGAGUAAUUCUCAAAAGUAAAAAUACUCAUCAAAGGGAUACAUGCUUCUUGACUUUUGAGAAAUUGAUCUUAACAGGUUGGAUUAUUUAGCAGCACCCUAAGUAAUAUGUGAAAGUAUCAUUUUAUCCUAGCCUAAGCAAACUAAUAUUUUCUUCAGACUUUUGAAAUUUUUAAGAAUUAUGCCACUAAAAGAUAGCAUCAUGGUACAGUUUUAAUUUGCUUUUUUCUUAUUAUUAGUGAUGCUAAGCAUCUUUUGGUAUGUUUAAUGGUAUUAUUUUUUCUUUAUUUGUAUCUCUUUUGAGUUUUAUAUCUAUAGAGUUUUGGGUAUUUUUCUAUUGAUUUCUUGCUAUUUAUAUCAGAAGAUGACAAUCACUUUGUAUGAGAUGCAAAAAUGUUCCCAUGUUGUCUUUUUUUAUUACUUUAUAGCUCAUGGAAUUUUUGCCACAUAGAACUUUCUUUUUAAUAUAAUCUGAUUUACCAGUUUUCUAUAUGGCUUCUAAGUAUUGAGUCAUAGAUAAAAUUCUGGACCUUUCCCAUGCCAAGAUUAUAAAAGAAUUCACCAAUUUUUUAGGACUUUUAUAGUUUCAAUUUUUGUAUUGCCAAAUAUGAUCCACUGCAUGAUAUUUUUAAUCCAAAAGUUAUGUUCAGGUUUAAAGAGGAUCUGAGGAGAAGUAAGCCAUACUGUUAGAAUUAUAUGGGCCUUUCUGACCUUUCUUUUGCAUAGUGUAUUAAAUCUCUUUCCUUUAUGCUAGUAGGAUACAAUACAAUUACAAUGAAAAAGAGUGAUCUCGAUUUAAAAAUUAAAAUUAACAACUAUAUUCAGCCUUUGGAGGUGUCUGCCAUUUUCAUUGUGUUACUUUGUCUGAUAAUUACUUGCUUGUUUGUUUCUGUGAGAAGACCAUGUGCUAAUAGAAAAGGCAUAAGCUAAUGAUAUUGCAGUAUAUAUUGGUUCACAUUCUAGUACCAUACACUAUAUGGCACUAUAAACUGUAUGAGAGUAAAAUACAAAGUGGUAUAAAAUAGAACAUAACCCUUGAAGUCAGAAGCCCUGAAUUCAUCUGUUGUACUCUAGAGCAUCUCUCUCUGCCAUGAUUUCCAUUUCUUUAAAAUGGAGGGGAUGGGAUUGUUAUUUUGGUGACAGUAAUAAAAAGUAGAUACAUUUUUUUAAAAUGCUGUGAGCUCUAUAGAAAAUUAGUUCAUGAAGUAAUUAGCUGAUGAUAUUUUCAAAUUACAUAGUAAUGAGUUUUUGGAGAGAGCUUUAUGCAGAAAGCUUUUCUUCCACAUCCCAUUUAAUAUUUGAUUACCCUUCUCUAUAUUUUGCCUUCAUCUUCAAAAGCAGUGUUUCAACAAGUACAGUAUCUGUUCUAGAUGCUAGGGAUACAAUAGGAAGCAAACUAAACAUACAGAAAUAAUCACUGCUUUCAAAGAGCUAAUAUGUGGGAGGGAGGUGCUAAAAAAUGCAUGCAGAAAACAAAGUAUAUCAGAAGUCAGUAAGUCCAAAAGAGACAAUAAAGAGGUAGCAGGGUAGAAAGUUCAAGGAAAGGGCUAUCUCUGUGAUGACAAGAACCAGAGAAUCCUAAACAUUUAUCAGUGAACCUUAAAGGACAUGCAAGAAGAUCUUAGAGUUUCACAUUCAAUGAAAUGAUUUUCUGUGUAAGAGGGAGAGCUACAUUAGACAUAUAAGUAACCAGUCAUUUAUGAAGAUGUUGGCACUAGGUAAAUAAAAUAACAGCUUUUGUCAAACUUUUCUGUAGCCAUCACACAUGUGCUCAUGAUACCUCUCGUCUCAGCCACCCUCAGGCAAUUCUGUAGAAUUUACUAAUUGAGAAUGAAGGACCAAUGUUGAUGUGAUUAGGAGCUGGCAAGAUUCUUUUCCAAAUCAUGUGUUAUGAUUAACUUCAAUAGAUAAAUCAUGAUAAUCUCAGCUGGUAUAGGAUUCUUUUUAUAUGAGGACUUUUUCUUCCCCGAUAAUAUAACAUAACCCUUGUGGAGCCUAAAGAAUCAAAGAUUGUAAUGGAUUAUACUACAGUAUGCUGAAAUUAUGAAACCUGGAGAGUUGUUGAUUAUAUUUUUCAGACCUAGAUUACGGAUGGUUGAUACUUAUGUUCCCUUGUGAUAUAACCUUAAUUUACUUUCUCAGUUUUUUUCUCACUACUGGUUUCUUUCACAAAACAAAUUAUUUGCUUUUCAAAAUUCAUGCUAAUGAAUUAGCUAAUUUUGGUUCAUGCUGCUUGUUCUGCCUGAAAUGACUUAUCCUGACUCAUUAUACCUUGAAAUUACAAGUGUCCUUUAGUAUGUAAUUUAAAGUUUUCUCCCUCUGGAGUCUCUUUCUUUUAGCCAUUUUGUGAGGCCAUGGUUCAUAUUUGUUUUAUCUAGCUGUUUAUCUAUUACCUACCUCUGUUUAGCUAUCGAUCAUCUAACCAUUCUUCCCUGAGAUACUUGAUAUUUAUUAUGGAAUAAACAAAUUAAUUAGUUUUUUAUCUUUAGAAAUAAAAAAAAAAUAACAUGGGGAAUAGAGAUUAAAAAUAAUAAUACAAAAAAACCCAGUAAAAUGAAUGUAGUUUGAAGAGAUCCCAUAGUCUGCUUAUGGCAGAAUAUUAAAUACAAUGUAAAUGGACUUGUAUGAAUUUUUCUAGAACCAGACAGGCUGACUGGUGGCUCUCUAGGCUGCCAGCAUAUGCAAGAUAAUCUGGAACAAGAGCUUUGUAAUUUAUGAAGAAUAUUUCUGAGCUGAUAUGCCUCAGCUAGCUAUGCUGAGCCCCCUCACUUGAUACUGGUUGGCAUGCUGAACAUGGAUCUUGUUUCCUACUUAAGUUCUAAAGAUAAGAAAAUGAAUACAUUUAAUAAGGCUUUUGUGCCCUUCAUUAUUUGAAUUUGGUGUUUUGAAACAUCACUGCUUUCCCUAAGAUCUGGACAGCAGAUGGUUUAUUUUUAAAAUUUCAUUCUUUCUCAGUAUUUUCCACAAGUAAAAGAAUGUCCUGAGAGAAGACAUUAUAGCAUUAAUUUAAGUAAAAGUCCUGGUACCUCAAGAAUAGGCCAGCCCCAAGAUGCAGCAGGCUGUCAACAUGAAGGACAAUGUGGGAGUGUGUAGCUUGGCCAGAGUCAGUAACAUGACACGCUUAUAUCUGAUGAGACAAGAGGGAGAAAAUAGCUCUUCAGCCUGAGUCAGGUUAUGAGUAGAAAGUGAAGUCAGUACUAUUUAAAGUUUCAUUUUAUUUAUAGGCCUCACUAGUAAGUGUGGGGUUUCUAAGAAAGUAGAAGAUAUAGCUUCUGGCCAGAAACUUUUCAAUGUAAUGAAUAUGAUGAAGCUAAUGCAAGUAUUUUUAAUGCAUAUGACUAAAACUAGUAACCCAACAUACAGAGUAUAUACAACACUAAUUAAUAUACCUAAUUGGGAAUCUCACAUUGAAGAAAUUUUCUAUUAUAUAUGAUGUCUGAGAUAGGGCCUUCAGGUGAAAAUAUUGCUGUUGCCUAAACAUUUUAUUAGACCUUAUAACCAGACAAAAGGAAAAGAAGAAUUCAUCUCUAAAAAUUGCUAGAGUGGAGUCAGGAACUGCCAGACCAAAGAGACUGGAUCUAAAACUGCUGAGAAGAGGGAGAUAGGAUCUAAAACUGCUGCUGACUCACAGACUGCUCUCAGUAAAGCUGCCAUAGAUCCAACCUUCCCCUGAACCCCUGUCUUCCAUCAGUGUUCAUCUCAAUCUGUAAGGAAUCUUUUUCUGUUAUUUUAUAAUGUAAUUGCCCUGUGAUUUGAUAAUAGAAGUUAAGCCUAUACAUUUUCAUAAUCACCUUCUCCAGAACACAUCCAUUAUGCAAAGGAGGGAAACUUGAAUAGUAAUAAUGAUAAUGUUUUAUCUUAGGUAUACUAAGUGCUUUCAUCAUAUUAUCUCAUUUGGUCUUCACAAUAAACCUCUGGGUUAGUAGGUGCUAUCCAUUUUACAGGUGAGGAAAAUGGAGUCCUAUAGAAAUUUUUACCAUUUAAUUUGAAUGCUUACACUUUCUCUCUCUCUCUCUCUCUCUCUUUCUCUCUCUCUCUCUCUCUCUCUCGUCACUCUCAUACACAUACAGUAAUAGAAAGAACAGAAAGUUCUGGGUAUGCUUUAGCCCUCUGAGUGGGGAGUCAUUAAAUCUAAUCUGGAAAAUUAUUUUCAGGAAGCUUUGGCAUCAGCCUGAUAGAGAUUUGUAUCUUCAUAGCUUUGUAAUAGAUCUGUGACAUUGGGCAAGUUUUUUGAUAUUUUAAGCCUACAUUUUCUCAUCUAUAACAUGGAAACAAUAUUAACAACAACAAUAAUACAGGCAUUUUGGAAAUGAAAGUAAUGUGAGUAAACUACUCAACACAUAGAAAGCAAUUAAGAAUUAGCCAUAAAAUUUUCAUGUUUUGUCUUUUCAUGAACAGCAACAACAUUGGUAAAUUAAAAUUUUUAAUUUCUUGAAAGGAAAAAGAGUUACUUAAAAGAUGAAUAGUAACACCCAGUGUUUUCCAUGAAAUAGAAGGUUUAUACCCUUCUUUAAAAAAUGAUCCUUGGGCCGGGGAUUUAGCUCAGUGGUUUCGCUGCCUGCUGCGCAAGCGCAAGGACCCAAGUUUGAUCCCCGGUACAAAAAAAAAAAACCACAUUACAGCAAGCUAUGAUCAACAAUGGGAUUAAACUCCUUGUUUAUAAUCCCAAAGGCCAAGACUAAAAUAUGAUCCUCAACAAAUAAAGAAUUUUAAGGUAUGGUAAUCAUUAGGUCAUUUGCCUACUAUAUAACACCACCUCUCUUCCUUAGACUGGGAAGGAGUAAGGCAGUGUACCUUGCAGGGAAGCAUCUCUGUGCUUUCAAAAGAGAAAAUCAUUUCUGAGUCCUCCAGAAAGUAUUUUAGUCCAAACAUUAUGAUUGUAGGGCGUCAUCAGGCCACCUCUGCCUCCAACUCCAUGGCUUCCAUAAUGAGAUACCAUGUUCUAUCCUGAGGCCAUCCCAAGAUCAUGCUUUUCAGGGGACAAGAGCAGACAAAGGUCGGACAUGUGUCAUUUUGAGAAAUGUCACAUACAACCUAUGCUGCUUCAACAUUUUCUUGCCAGUCAAAAGCAGUGUUCCAGUAGAUGGUAGCCAAAAGGUAUAUGACAGAAAAGCACAUAGAGAGCUGUUUUCUCCCCAAUUCUACCUAAGGGAAUAUAAAGGCUCUUUUUUUCUCAAAAUUUAGAAAGGAGAAGAGACUUUGCAAACCUGACAUUAUCCACCAAAAAUUCAACAGUUGUUAUUGUUAAUAAAAAAAUUAGAAGUGACUUUUCUUGUAUUUAUGCUUUUUUUAGUGUUUUAAAGUUCUUAUCAUUAGCAAAAAUCACUUUUACAUAAUUUACUUUGGAUAUAUUUCUUUUAAAAUAACAUAAUAAAUGUUCCAAUAUAGAGAUAAAACAAAGAAAAAAAUCUCAAAACUUGCCACUUAGAUAUCUAUCUAUAGCUUUAUCUUUCAAACACAUGAUUGAAAAAUUCAGACAGAACAGAAUAAUAUACGUUAAAGUAAAAUUCUCUUUCUCACCACCCCCAAAUACCUUAAAGUAUAUCUUGUUUUAUAUAUCCUUCCAGAAAAAAAAGUUUAUGUAUACACACAUUUUAUUCAUAUAAAAGGCAUUGUACCAUACAUAAUGUCUUAGAAUCUCUUUGGCAACUUUACAAUAUUUUUUCAUGGGUGUACCAUUAUUUGCUUUAACCAGUCAACUGAAUAUUUUGUGUACACUAUUAUUUAUAUAAUCAGAAAAAUAUAACAACCUUUUUAAAAGUAUUUACUAGACCUUAGUCUAAGAUAACCCUAAACUUUCUGUUUAUUAUAUGAUCACAGGAAAAAAUCAUUAUUUCUAUAUGUAGGUAUGUAUGUGGAUAUGUAUUUAACAUAUUAGAGAAGAUUCCCUCGAACCUUAAUUUUAUAGUAUAUAAAUUUUACUAUAUAAAAUGUCAGAAUGGCCACAGGCAAAGUGGAUAAUGUCUCUUUGUGAUCCUGGCUGAAUUGUGGCCUCACAUGGAAGUUGGCAUUCUUCUGCAGAGUUUUAAUGCAGUCACUGAUUACAGUGUCUGAGAUUUUACUGCAAUUUCCAUUUGAGUUAAAACUGAUUUUGUCUUCAAAAUAAAAGCCUUUGAAAACAGGGAAAAUAAUUAUUUUUCCCAUGGCAGGAAAUCUAAAUCCUUUCAUUUUAUCUCCUAACAUAAAAAAAGAAAGGUAAUAAGAAAACACUGAAAAAUUGAUGCAAAAACAAAACCUUUACUGAAUAUUUAGGCUGUGGAACUUUAUUCUCAAACUACCUGCUAAUGUCUUAGGUACCCAUGACAAAGAGAGCUAGAUCCAGUAAAACAAUUUAUACCAAAGUUUAUUGUAAUUCUAGCAAAAAAGCCACUGAAGCUUGGUGAAAUCAUUUUGCUGCAGAUUUUUUUGAAAGAAUUCACCAGUGUGUUUUUUGAGGAAGAAUUUUGUUUGUAGGCUUCGGCAUGAUUACUUAUGUAAAAUGUAGAGAUUGUACAAAUCUAAUACAGAAAAGUAAAUGUACAAGCAAGACAUAUUCUAACCUUGAAAGUGUGGCUGCUUUUAAUGACACAGUGUAUCAAGGUCAAGAGAAGGUGCCCUCAGCAGAUGGAAGAUUUUCCAACUAAAAAAGCUUCAUUUACAUUUAAAAUAUACUGAGUUACCCAUGAUUUCUAAGGAGUAAUUGGUUGUUCUAGGUAUAACCAUGGCUCAUUUCUAUUAAAAUCAUCUAUCAAGCAACUGAUUUACCUCAUAUAUUUCCCAGCAGGAGUUUUCUGUGGAAAAGCAGGAAAAGGGAAGUGGAGGAGGAAGGCAUCCUUCCAUAUCCUGUGAUAAACCCACCAAGGGUCACUACUUUCGGUAAGAGUCUGGAAAGAAACUGCCAGAGGACACAUCUGAACCUUGGUGAGAAACAGAUUUCAUGAUACCUUGAUUUUUAAUCUUUAAUAUAUGUGGAGAAUGAUUUAGGAGACUUUUCCCAUGUUUAUUUGUGCCUGUGCGUCCUCAUUUUGUUUUAUUUUGAAUUUGUAGUUAGGUAGUAUUUAUAUUUGAACCAUAUUUUGUUCAGAACUGGCUUGUUGAAGCUAUUCUAUAAUAAGUAUCCUUUUAACUUUUUAUCUUUUAAAUUAAUUUAUUGAUUUUUUUACUUUUAUUAGUACAUGUUUGCAGUCCAUAAUGAUUACAUUCAUUGUAGGGAAUUCCUACAUAUACAUAGAACACUGCAACUUUUUUCCCCUUCCUUCCUUUCAACUAUACCCCCCUUUUAUUUUUGCCAGCGUCAGAUUCAUUGAUUUAUAAGACCUUGUAAAGUUAAUUAUCAUGUAUACAGAUUAAAAACAGAUUAAUAGGCAAAAAAACAUAUAAAACAUGUAAGACCGUUGUUCUAAGUCAAGGUACACCUUCAGAGACGUUGUCUGCACUGGUUGUACUGAUUAAGGAUGUUCAUGUGCCGGGGAACACAAUGCAUUCAGAAGACUUGCUCUCACAGCCUUUGUCAGGAGUUCUGAUUGAGCUUCAAAGAUGAGAUGCCACAUGCUUUCAUGUUAGUAUUAUGGAGGUGAUUUUUCUUUCUUUCUUUUCCUGCCUCUCAUUCUGUAUUCUUUCUCUUGCUCUCUCUCUCUCUCUCUCUCUCUCUCUCUCUCUCUCUCUCUCUCUCUCUCUCUCUCUCAGUUUUAUGAAAAUUCAUUUAUCUGUGACAUUUAAAGACUGUCUCAGAGGUGUCUGGAGCUGUGGCUGGCUGUGUAUAUCAAUAGUUUCCUAGAAUCUGGCACUCUCUCGAUAUUUGACGGCCUUGACCACAACUUAAAUGCAGAUCCUGCCAGCCAUCUUGCUCUUAGUGCCUUAGUAACAGGUCUGAAUGAGUGUGUAUUAGCAUGUCAGAUCUUUUCACAACUGGCAACACUUACUAGAUAGUUCAUAGGCAUCUUACAUGUGCUUUCUGAACCUUUCUGUUUGUCUGCCUCAUUUAUAUGAUGUCAUUUUUCACACUAUAUACAUAAAUGAGAAUUUUUUAAAGUAUUAUUGCAAAAAUGGAAGUAAAUGGUAUUGUACACUCUGGAUUUGGUGAGUUUUAUAAACAUCAAGUGAUAGUGUAUUGCUAGUACAUUUUAAAAAUUGUGUUCUAGAUGAUUUUUUUUGUUUGCUUUUUUAUGUUUUACGUAUGCUACAAUACUUGAGACUAAAUUGUUGUUGCUGUUUUAUGAAGAAAUACACAUUUAUAAGGCCACUAGGACUUUCUGGGUGAAGUAGCUUUAGCUUCUGUGAUAGAUAUUUAGGGACAUGAAGAAGAAAUAUUAGGAGGUUGGCGAGAUAAGGUUGUCUCUGAAACAAAAACUACUUAUAUUUUCAAACAUUUCUCAGCUGUCCUCUCUGUUACGUAAGUGAAAUGGGUCAUGUAUAAAUUGAGUCAUUACAACAAUAUUAUAUCAACUUUCCCUAGAUAAUAGCUUAUGGGCCUUUCAUGGUCUGUCAGGAAGACUCAUAAUGGUGCAACAUGUUAGUUACUAAAGUACUGUGUUUUCUCAACCCAUGUGUAACCUUGACCAUAUUUUGUGAUAGGAAUAUCAUGAAUCUGAACUUUAAAGACGGGAAUGGGAAAAUGAGAGUUUACCAGGUACCAGUCUCAUCUUGGAGAUCUGUAUCCAAUCUAGGAUAAAUGUGAAAAACCUUGCCAAGUUGUAGGUCAUACUCAGACCAAAUCCAGGUUUUCAUAUAACUAGGAGAAUUUCCUGGAACCCUUAAUCUGCCUAGAUGGAAUCAUCAGGUGGCUUCUUCCUUGGACCUGCUGAACCAGCAAUAACUUCUAAGUAGAUUGGAGUUAAAUCUUUCUGAAUUUUGAUUUUUAACUCGGGUUCCUAACAUUUGAGAACAUGGCUUCCAUGUGGGUUUCUGAAAUAUGCCACAAAUCAUAGAAGAUUUUAAGGUGAUUUUUGUUGGGACUGAGGAAAGAAAUUGCUAAUAAACAGCAUUAAUCAGUUUCAAUACAAUAACUGAAGACUAACUCAGGACCUCUAGAGCCUUUAGUUUUAACUCAGAAAGGAAAAUUUACAUACUUAUUGCCUGGUAAUUAUGAGUCUUUUGUAGGGUUAAACAUUCUUUUGACCAGCUAUAAAUGUUGUCUCCUGAUAUUAUGUCAUAUUUACAGAUAUCAUCAUUUUCAAAACCAAUUAGUCAAUGUCAUUGGUAGCAGAAAGUUCCUUUGAAAGUACUGUGAUGAACUAGGCAGCUUGUAUGGACAGAGAAGUCACGAGGGUUCCAUCUACCAGAAAUCAUCUAGUAAUGUAAAGUCAGGCCACAAAUUAAACAAGGAAAAAUGGGCAUAAAGAUCAAAGGGAUAAGAAAGAAAGCAUAGUUAUAUGUGUAUUUGUAACAAGGCUUAUAUCAAAGGAUUUAGUAUUUUUCUUUCUAAUUCACAUACAAUAGAAGAAAUUAACACAGAUUAUAAUGAAUAAACACACAUGACCUGUUGUUUCCACCUACACUUAAAUCUGUUGCUGUGGUCUCAGAUAGGAAGGAAAAACCUCACAAUAUGCAGCAUUAACCACAAGUUUUCUUACACCACCAUAUCUUCAACUCAAGAUACAAUAGCAAAGAUCUCCAGUAGCUUCCUUCAAUGCCUUAGAAACUGAUCUCUAUCUUUGUUAACAAGACUCAUGCUGUGCUAAGAAUUUACCCUCUUCUUGCUCUGGAUUCAGAAUUUAAUGGGUAUAUGUUUUAUCUGUUCUUCAUUUUACACAGUGAAUGUUAGAUAGUAAUCCUUUCUGAGGCAAAGGAAGAAACAGGUAUGAGAUGAGCAUAUAACAUUAGCCUGCAGACUUUAUAUUUAAGAAUAGAAGAAACAGUGUUUUCUUUAGAUGCACUUUGGAACUAUAUUUGAAUCUAAUGGGUUGAAUUUAACCAUCUCUCUCUUUUUUUUUUUUGGUACCGGGGAUCGAACUCAGGUCCUUGCACUUGGGCAGCAGACGUUAACCAUCUCUUUUCAUUAAUACUGUAAUGAUCUCUUCCCUAAAGUAGGCAAAACUUGUGUUUUCUUUCUAGAAAUUCUAGUAGCUUUAAUUAUUUCUUCUCUAGUAUAUAUUUUGUCUGCUGAUCACAGAGUAAAAUGAGAGCUAUGAGGACAAUGGGCUAUAAGUGCAGAGGGUUUUCUGUUUGGUUCCACCUCAGCAAGGAAGACUCUCUUCCUUUACAUGACUCUUCUGCCUUGUUUACCCUACUUGAGCAGAAAUAGCUGCCUGGCUGGCUGUGUAGCUAGUCUCAACAGAACACAUGAAGAUGUACUUUGAAAGAUCUACGUACCUUAACAGAAAGUAGAAUCUGGUGAUACUAGGGAGAUGAGCUUUGUUGAUGCCACUGCAGUGCCUUAGUGAUAGGCACACUUAAAUAGAAAUCCACAAUUUCACCCUAAAAGGCACUGGAGGGAAAUGGACUACCUAUUAUCACUAGGUCUGUGUUUCUAGUCACAGGGAUCCCUUUAUUCAGAAAUAUAACCCUGUAUUUAGUUUAUGAAUUUCUUUAUAAUAGUUUACUUAUUGUGAUUUCCACCCCAAUGCUAUUGAAAGGUUCGCUUGCCAACCUUCAGUUCAAAAGGACCCCAAGCAAGGAAUUCUUUUGGAAAUUUAUCUCAAAAGAUCUACUUUAUAAAGAGAAUUUUUCAUGCACAUACCACAGAAUCAAACUUGUGACCUUGAGCUUGCGAGGCAAGCAGUAGAACCACUAAGCUAAAUGCCCAGCCCUCCUCUUGUUCUUGUAAAAAGUGUGAUGUCUUAAUAAUGUUUUCUUCUUUUUUGGCCCAUUGAGAGCUCUCCUAGACUAAGGCAAAGCUGGAAUCAUGAUCUAGCUUCACCUAACUAGCAGAGCUUUUAUAUAAUGUUGCCUCAAAUGAUAAAGCUUACUAUGUGUUUUGUGUGAAGCACUUCAGAAUGCUCAAGAAAUGACUAAGAGGGUAUCAGAAUCAAUAUGGAAAAAUACAGACAUAAUAUACCCCUAGAAUCAGUUCUGGAUUCUGGUGUGUGAUUACCUUGAUAUGUUUUCCAAUAUUGACAAACCCAAUGUAUUUUAAAUUAUUAGUAGAGGCAUUUCAAAAUUGCAAAACAAAAUUAGGGUUUUAUUGUUUUCUUUUUUUGGUACUGGGGAUCAAACUCAGGACCUUGCACUUGCGAGGCAGGUGCCGGAACCACUGAACUAAAUCUCCAGCCCUCAAAAUCAGUUUUAAUUUAAAAUCACAUGUAAGUAGUAAAAAUGGAAAAGUGUUGCAAAAAUCACAUUAACAAUAGGGCAUCAGAAUUUCUAAAUAAUUUUAAAUCACUAUUUUAGAUGUUGUUGAAAGGGAAUGUCCAAAUAGCAACACUGAGAGACUGCUUUGGAGGCAAGACAAUCAUUGCAAUGAGUACUUAGUUAUAUAUAGGAUAAAUAGAGUGGUUUUUACAUAAAAGUUAUUGUUAGUAUUCUUUAGGAGAGAAAACAAAUCUCAAAAAUGCCAAUUUGUCAUAUAUAUAUAUAUAUAUCAUAUAUAUCAUAUAUAUACACAUAUAUAUACAAUAUGAUAUAUAUAUGUAUAAUAUAAUUAUACUAGUUUGCAUGUGUAUAUGGACACUAAGCUAACACUACACACCUGACCAUGCUUACCUACUUUGUUUCUUUCAUAGGGGAUUGUCUUUUUUUUUUCCCACAGAUUUAAGACUACGUAAGAGCAGGCAUGUGACUUUGUUUCUUUCCAGUCUUCUUUCAAGUCUUGUACUUUCCAUUGCCUGUGAUAUCAUAGUAAAUGUCAUUGCUGAACUGAAAUGAAUGAUUGGCUCUGUUGGAGGGAUAAGGUCUGAGGCAGAGUAUAGGACUGUACUCAACAGUGUAAAAUGUACCCUUGAAACUUAGCAAUAGCCGUAACAGUAGAAUAUAUAAGAAGCAUUACAAAACAUGGACCUUUCUAUUUUCUCUGAGCAUAGAUUAAACACUUAGUUCUUCUUCUGAGUUGUUAAAUCCCUCCCCCCAAAAUUAACAUUUUGAGGAAAAAAAUUCUUGAGGACAAGGAGGUCUUUUUUUUUUCAUCUUAAAAAAAAGGAGGUUAAGGUAGUGAGUUAAUAAACAGCUUUCAAACAAAUUAUGGGAAGAAAGAAAUAGGACAUUCAAAAAUAUGCUUGUACUUCAAUAGAAAAUCUUUGGGUUUGAUAGUGAGAUGCGUUCAUGAUAGACGUCUAAACAUUGAGAAAAGUUGUAGAAUAUUGUGGGAUUGGCCUUCCAUGAACUUUUUUAAUUUAAAGAGAGUGGAUUCACAUCUUUCUGUUAUGGUCUAAAAUGUGUCAGGGAAUGGGAAGAAAUAACUCCUUUAGAUGAUUCAUGUUUUUCAAUUUUUCUUCCCUCUCUUCUUUAAAGCCACUUUUAUUCAUAAUCAAAAACUGAAAUGAAAAUGAAAAUGAAAAUCUUGCCAAAAGUCACCAGAACUUUUAAAUGUACUUGACCAGGAUGACAGUAUUAGAACUGCCACCAACAUUUUAGUGGACACUGACGGAUCACACUGUUAGUUGGUGCCUGGUGAUGUGUGCCUAUAAUACCAGCACUCUGGGAGGCUGGAGCAGAGGGAGAGCAAAUUUACUUCCAGCCUGGGCAAGUUUGCAACUCUGUUGAGAAUCUGUCUCAAAUUUUAAAAAUUAAAAAGGCUGGGGAUGUAGCCUAGUGUGAAGGCCCUGGAUUCAUCCCUAAUAAUGCAAAACAAAAAAUAAAUUUAAAAAGAGGAAUCACAGUGUUACCAUCAUUUCCUAUAAUAAUUGAUUUACUACAAACAUGAAAACAUCCUGAAAAGACUUGCUUGUGAAGAAAGGAUUAGUAUAUUGUUUAGUGUUUGAUUAAAAAAAUACAAUAGAGGGCCGGGGAUUUAGCUCAAUGGUUCCGCCGCCUGCCUUGCAAGUGCAAGGACCAAAGUUCGAUCCCCGGUACCAAAAAAAAAAAAAAAAAUACAAUAGACUUUUAGCAGAAAUUUAUCAUAUUUCAGUCUGUUUUGUAUUGUCAGUAUUCAAAGUCAUACUGUUACCAUUAUACUUAAAUCAUUCCCUUCCUAUGGCAUUAGGUGUUUUUGAUGCAUUUCCAGAACAUUAAGCCAACAUGUGUUGGUGGUAUUUGCUAAAAAAUAAGGAGAAAGGUCCACAGAAUAUAAUUAGGGGAAAAGACAUCUUCAAUUCAAAUAUUUAUGCAUACCAAGCUCUUCCUACCUGCCAAGUACUUUUCCAGAAAUGGGAGGCACACAGAUAAAUGCAUCUCUGUCACUGAAAAAGCAUUCAUAUAUUGGUGGGAGAAACAGACAUGGAAACAUAAAUUACCAAACAAACAGAUGAUGGAGUAAAGGGUUUUGGAAGGCACUGUAUUGGUUUGUCUGGGGCAUUUCUGGUUUAAACUAUAGUCCUGGUAUAAUUAUUAUAAGGUCCUUUCACCUAUAAAAGUAUCCCUGGUUGAACAAUAAAUUGUAUGGUCACCUCAUACACAGCUGUAUAAAUCAAAUCUGCCUGAGGCUGUCAGGAAAGAUUUCCCGCAGAAUAGGACAGAAAAUGAAAAAGAUUAAGAAUGCUUUGCCACAUGUGUUACCCACACCCAAAUGGAAAGGAAACAAGGAGUAGACUGACUUUUAUUUGUCUUAAGCUUGUAGGAAGGGGAGUGGGAAACAAACUCAUACUGGGUGAAGGAGAGAGACAGGCAGGCACUCUACCCCCAGCUGUUGGUAUGUGAUAUGUACAAGGGUUUUUUUGUGGUUAAGUGAACCAUUCAGCUGUUAAUUCCCUGAGGUGUUUGGGACUGAGAGGUGGGUGAGAAAGAACUGGGAGGGGGUGGGGGGGAUUUAGGAAGACAAGUUAACGUUAAAUAUAAGAAAGUACAUGUUGGGGCCAGGGAUUUAGCUCAGUGGUUCCGCCGCCUGCCACGCAAGCACAAGGACCUGAGUUCGAUCCCCAGUACCAAAAAAAAAAAAAAGAAAGUACAUGUUUUACAAAGUGAAGUGAUCUGACAUAGGAUGGGGCAAUCUGUGAGGUUGAGAGCCCCCUGCCUCUGGUGGUAUCACAGUGAACAAACUGGGACACCACUGGUUACGUGAUGUCCUUUACCACGUCAUUGUCCUGUGAGUAAUGAUUCUGUGUGCAUACCUGCCUGGGGCCUUUUUGAGCAGCUUUUAAGAAUUCUGUAUUUGGGAAAUCUUGUAAAGAUAUCUUUGAAAAAUGUAGAAAUACAAUGAAAAAAAUCAGUUUCCAUGAGCUAACACCUCUUGUGAUCCACUCUGAGUACCUACUAAAAAGAGACAGGCGAAUAUAAAGCGCAUCUCACUGAGCUUGUUUUUUGCCAUCCAUACAAGGAAAAUGACCUCUAGACAUGUAACAUUCAGGACCCAUGCCUUCAUCAGGUCUCUACCGCUUGGGCCCAUGUUCAUUUUAAGAUGGAGUAUCUGCAGAGUCUUGCUUACCAGUUUGAUUUGCAUAGCUCUGAAUUACAUAAAAAUGGGACUGGUGGCAAAGCUGUCAUUAAAGAGAAACAAAACAGAAAACUGCACAAAGGAUACAUUCUGUGCAAAGUUUAGACUGUUUCAGGGCUCCUUGUCAUAGUAAGAAAGAUGCUUACCCCUUUCCCACUCCUAAAAAGAAUAGCAGGAAAGUGACAAGAGAGGGCUGCCUGGAGGUAACAUGAGAGUAAAAAAUAAACUAAAGCUGGCCACACGAAGAAUGAGAAAGGAAUUGGCAAGGACACAAAGUGAUGCCGCCAAAUGCCCCACAUUCACAGCACAGAGAUAUGCCAUGAGGUGAGAAUCACCUUUCCCUCUUCCCCAGUUCAGUGAAACAGGAAUUGGUCGGACUCAGGAAUGGAAUGACAUCUCCAUGAAGCUCCGCUUUCUCAGAGGCCUGGGAAGGGUGGCAACUCAGCUAGAGCCAGGAUGUACUCACUGGCCUUUUAAUCCAAUUAUUGGGUUUCUAUGUUUACGAAUUAAAAUGCUUCCAGUAAACCAGGAAGAAAGGUCUUCUGGAGGCAGUGGAAAUGACUUAUUUAGUUGUUAAUAGUACACGGGCUUUGUCAUGGGCUUUGGCACCAGGAAAACUGAUUUCAAAUCUCUGCAACUUACAUAUUUAUAGUAAGAUAUUUAAACUCUAAGUUUUAGUGCCUACAUUUGGAAAAAAAUGGAGAUACAUAUGUAUCAUAGAGCUGUUGUAAAAAGAUUAAAUUACACAGGUAAAUUGUGAAACAUGGUAUCAGAAAAAGCAUUAUUAACAAUGAAAUUUUUAUUCAAUGAAGAAUAUUAUUUUUGUAAUAUUCUCUAGCCACCCAGUCUCAUUUUACAUCAUUGCUUUCUAUCUGGUUCCAGCUUUGACCUGCUUUCCCAGAAUAAUACGUACAUAUAUAUCCUUGCUUUGAAACCUCAUUCUCCUCUGUUCUUUAAAGUUAUACCUAAAAUUAUUUGGGUGUGGAGGGGCAUACCUAUAAUCCCAACACUGUAGGAGGCUGAGGCAGGAGAAUUGCAAAUUUGAGCCUAGCCAAAGCAUUUUAGGGAAUUAGUGAGCCCUGUUGUAAAAUAAAAAAAUAAAAAAGGUCUGGGAAUGUAAUUCAGUGCAAAGUCCCUGGGUUCAAUCCCUGGUUACAUGUCAAAAAAACAAAAACAGAGUUAUACUAUAUAUAAAUUCAAUAACAAUGAUGUACAAAAAUUAAAACCAUAGAAUAAUAUAUGACAGAGUUUUUGAUCUUGAAUUUUUUUUUACCUUUUUAAGAUCUUUUAUAUAUGUAAAUGCAGUAAGUAGAGGAGCUUAAUGCAAAAGAUGUUACAUUUUUCUGUCAUAUCUGAAACAAAAACAACUUAAAGUAUUUUUAAAUGAAUAAAUUUUACAUUUUACUUUGCCAUACCUGCAUAUGGUAUUUGAUCCUGAAUUCUGAAGGCAUUCUUUAUUUUUUAUAACAUUGACCCUGUGACUGUGCAGGCUACUUGAACAGGGAAAAAGUCCUGUAUUAUUAUUAUUUUCUACCCUCCUCAUAGGAGGUUAAAUAACUUGCCAAAAAACACUGGGUAGUUUCAGAGGAAGAAUCUUGAAUUCUUGAUGAGAAGAUUUUGAAUUCUUGAUCUCAAAUCUGCCAGGAUGGCCAUUUAUUAUGAAAAAGUCAGCCUACAAAAGAUGAUCCCAAGUAUUAAUAUUAUAUUAUUAUACUGCUUCUCAUCGCACAGUUAAUAUGUUUUCUAGAUUUAUACUCGCCCCGUAGUUACCCAUACAACAUAGGGAGAAAGUAGUAUAAAUUCCCUGCUUAACAGCCAAAGCAGUCCUUGUCACCAGAACUGUCAUAUGUUAGAUCCUGUGUCAGUAUCUGCAGCCAGGCCUUAGCUUCUAAGGAUCUACUUGUUACAAGUGAGUUUAUGUGCCUUGAAGCAUAUGGCCUUGAUAUAUGAUCCCAGAGCAAAAGAGCAAGGUAUUUCAAGCUGGCCACAAUUUUAUUGACUCUCACAGACUUGCUUUGUAGUCAUUCCAAUAAACUAGAUGAGAAAUUUCUGAUGCUCCAAGCUAUCCAGUCCUCAGGACUCCAUUUCGUGAUUCAGAGUCCAACAAAACAACUCAAGAGUGCUUUUGUAUGACACUGUGACCACAGGGAUAAAUAAUUGCUUAGUAAUUCUCUUUGAGGCAGAAAAUUCUAAACAUGGAGGAACCAUUUCCCCUUAAUGGGAGCCAGAAAUCCUGUGAGUGCUUGAAAUGGCAUUCACAAGUCUGAAUGGUAAACAGAUAAAAACAGGAGCGCACCAGUUGCACAAAUGACUUGCUUGUCACAAACUUGUCAUUGCAGUAAUCUAACAUUUCUUUCACAGAGCCCGAUGGAAAGUAUGGAACAAACAAGCCCUGCUGACGUUUUGGCUCUGUUAAGCCUUCCUUCAAGCUAAAGCAUCUGCAGCAUCUUCCUGUUCUAGACCCUUUAUCUGCUGAAGUUAGCUGAUACUGUACAUGUCAAAGAAAUGUUUGACUCUUGCAUUAACAAGUUGAUGACAAGCAAGUUAUUCCUGCAGUUGAAAUACUGCUGCUUUUAGUCGGCUGCUAUUUUGACCUUCAUUUUAUUAUGAAAAAGAACCCUAGCAGAGCACUGGGAAGGGACCAGAAUUGUUGCCCCAGGCCUCUGCAGAUUCACAAAGGCUACUUGUGUAGGGGAUAGGGGCUGUGGUGGUGGAGUGGGCACACCUGGCAGUUUCAUCAGAUUAUGGAUGGGAUUUCCUACUAAAACCUGAAUGUUCUGAAUACACUGGAUGGUCCUAAGGAUUGCUCUUGCAGGGGUAAAAAGACCUGCACAGAAAUUGAUUUUCUCCCAUAUUGUCUCUACCCACCUCCCCACAUGCACAUACAUUUAUAUGUGAGUGCUUUAUUGAAUAUUAGUAGCUGGGAAACAUAAAUGAAAAUUGUAUAUAGCAACUAUUCACAUAGUUUUGCCAGUUCUUCCUGUUGGUAGCCUCUCCUAACCUCCUUCUCAUUCAGCAUAAUAUCUAAAGCUAUCUAAACUUCAUCCAAGCCAUCUUGUUGUCUCCUAAAGAGCACUGUGUCCCCGUUAAGCCUCCUCACAGAAAACUCAGGCAGCCCUCCAGAAGAUAUCAUCAGCUCAUUUCCAACUCCAGCUACCAGCAGGGAGUGCUCGUACUCUGUGCAACAGCUGACUCUUGUCUGUCUGAGGAACCCUCCUCCCCCUUGGGGACCCACCCUUGGUGAUCUCUGAGUGUGCAGUCCACUGGGUCCCAGCCUUAUCAGCAUACAAAACCUGGCUGGAGGCUGUAAUUGGAGCCUUGCCUGUCCCCCCAACCCCCAUCCUCCAACUUUCUGCUUUUGUUGGUGCCAGGGGAUAUCAGCUCUUAGAACAGUGGAGCAUUUGCCCUAAGACUUUGGCCUUUUCAUAAAACUGAGCUUGUCUUAUUCACCAAGGUGUCAGGUACCUUGUAUUCUUUUCAGACCCUUCAGGUCUGGUUAGGGUACACUGAUAGUGUCUGGUCUGGUUUAAAUAUUGACAUGAAAAACUUUCAUUUUCUGACUUAUUUUCUGGCUGGUGCCCCAGGAACUUUCAUUUUUAAAUGUCUUGGGUAAAAAUGAUUAUCACUGUUCAGCCAUGAUAACCAAAUUUCUUGCCAAAGUGGUGGUAAGCCUUGACAUUUUUAGACUUGACAACUUGUCCACGGUAGUGUCUCCCAUAUGAAAUGUUUUACUUUACCCCAAAUAUCUCAUGUUGCAAUCUAUACUUCUGCUUUGUGGAAAAACUACCUCAGAGGACAGGUGGGAUGGGUGUGAGAAGAAGGCCCUUUUGUUUACAGAGUUAAGGAUAUUGUCCCUGAAACAGUGAGGAUAGUUUGAGGCAAUGAUUCUGUUUCUGCAAAAGAAAAUAUGUGAAUGAACAAUUUUAAUUUUAAGUGGAGUGUUACUGACUUUUUUUCUUUUCAAGUUCCUAAUAGGAUUUACAUAAUGAUUUUGUGUUUCCUUUCUUAUUAGAACUUAAAUGGCAAAAAAAUGAUAUGCUAUUUUUAAUUCAGAAAAAUAUAAAAUCUUUUUAUUGGAACUCUUAAUAUAUGUAUUACGAACUAGAUAAUGGCCCAAAAGAACAAAAGAGAGACAGACAGACAGAGAAAGGUUCUGACUUCCUAUUCAGAGGGAUAUCUAAUUAGUGUGUGUUUUUAGUAUUUACUUAUUUGUCUGUUUGUUUUAAGAAAUUUAGCAAAGGGGGCUGGGGAUUUAGCUGAGUGGCUCCGCCACCUGCCUUGCAGGCGCAAGGACCUGAGUUCCAUCCCUGGUACCCCCCCCCCCAAAAAGUAAGCAAAAGCAGAAGAACUAAUCCCUUAUACUGCAGUAAUUUCAUUAGACCCAUCAUAGAAUAUUAGGGUGAGAAGGGGCUUUGAUCAGCCUGACUUUAUAUCACACUCUCACUUGAGAAGUGAAGGUGCUGAGAUCCAAAAAUGUUUAAUAAAUGAACCAAGGUAAACAAAGGGAUUGUGGCAAAGCAAGGCCUAAAAACCAAGGUCUGACUUCCAAUUCAGGCAAUACUCUCUCAGACAUUACAUUACAUUUUUUAAAGCUUUCUUUCAAAUGAAGACAGUCUCAUCUUAAUAAUUUGCACCAAUGUGCUUAAAUCUAAAAGGGCAUUUUGCUUUUGUCAUUACUGGGACUUUGUGUGGCUAAGCUAACUAUAGAAUGUGCAUUUGAACAGAUUGAAUAUAUUUCUUUCUAAGCGGUAUUUUAUCCAAGUAGUGUAAGCAACCUUUAUUAUUUCAAUGAAGUUUUUCCUCUUAGAGGAUUCAAAGAAACACUCUAUUCCAAUCAUGUAUCUGAAAACAUAUUUUUAAGUGGGUCUGUUCCUUUAAUAAGUAUUUGUUUAAAUAUAUCAUAUCCUAGCAUUCUAGGAGAUAAAAAGUCCUUUAUCAGAUUAACAGAAAUCUGUUUCUUAUUCCCACUUUUAGUCAUGUUUGAGUUUGUCCUUGUAGUUGUUAGUUUGGACAAAACAUUGAUUAAGUCAAAAUAUCAAUGUUUUUGUUUGUUUGGGUUCUUUUUUGUUUAGCAGGAGUGAAAAAGUUAAAUAUGAAUUUACCUUUUGUAGCUAUGAUAAUUAUGCUUUUUUAUUCAUGCAAAACUUAUUUUUCUUUUUGUUUCAUUUCUGUUUUCGCAUGUUACAAACAACUGUACUGUGGCUGGUGGCAAGAGUAGCAGUGGCUGGCACUUUUCCUCAACGUUGUGAGAAAAAGAGAAUUAGCUGGAAUAAAAUCUUGCUUUCCAUAUGGUGAACUUGAAAUGCAGCAUUGAACAGGUAUCUUCUCUUUUUCUUUUCUGAAACCAGAGGUGAAACCCAUGGACAAAUAGCAGUAUUGAUGCCAAAUCACCUGUUGAUUCUCAUCAGAAAAUUCCUUGGCAAUGCAACCCUUGUUUCAUCAGUUGCAAAACCUAAAUAGUUAGUCUUUGUGCGUUGGUAACAUCUAUAUUCAAGACAUGUGCCUUUGGUCGCUCACUUAAGAAUGACCAAGAUUCUACACAUAGUUAAGAAAUGAGCUGAAAGUUUGCUUUUGAUUGAACAAAAUGAUCAUUUUGUAAGUAUGUUUGGCUUGUGAGGUGCUUAUUAACUCCUACAAUAUCGGAAUCGAUUGUUGGGAACAAUGGAGAGAAAAAUGGCACUACUGUUUUCCUUUAUCUUAAUUCUAGUUGGGAAAAAUAGUGGUCUGUGUCUUAUAAAAAUGUUUUAAUGUAAAGUAUUUCAAACACAUAAAAGUAUGAAGAUUAAUAUGAAAUAUAAGAAUCCAAAACACAAGUAAAACAAACCUUGAUAAUUUGAAGUAUUUGUUUCUGAGCCUGUUUCUAUUAUUAUUCUCUUAUAAAUUGUGUACAAUAGAAAAAUUAAAUGUAUAGUUUGAGGAGCUAAACUCUACAGUCAUGUGAAACAUAUAUAAAACAUAGGAAGGGUCUUUCUUUAGUGCCUUUUUGCAUUUGAUUUUCUCCAAAGCUUUGACAAAGGUUAAUAGCAAUCAUUAGUUCCUUUUAUGUAAGUCAUAUAUUAUAGCUUAAAUUAAUUCUCCUGAAUAUAUCACUAAAAUUUAUUUGUUGAUUUUCUCAUUGUUAGGCAUAAUUUCCAAUGUUUUCCAAUAACAAGCAAGUUAAUAUUUAUACACAUGUACAUACAGGGAGGUGGAAUUGCUAAACAUUAAGAAACAUGAAUUUUAAACUUUACCAGGGCAUUGUAAAGUUUCACUUCAAAAUACCAAUUUAUAUUCUUCAUAAUCUGAGAGUUUCUCCACAUCUUUCUUAAUAUUUGAAAUGAUCAGACUUUUUAAAAUUUUGUCAUUUUAAUAAGGAUUAAAUAAUAUCUUGCUUAAAUUUUUUUUCAAUUAUAAGCCAUUGAAUUCCCUCUUGUAUGUUACCUGUUUGUAUCUUUAGUCUAUUGUCUAUUGAGUUAUUUGUGUUGCUAUUGUUAUUUUGUAGUGUUUUGUCUUGUUUUGGAGUUAGUUGUUUUUGUUUUUAUUAUAAUAUUCUGGAUUCUCAUACCUUUGGGCCAUAGGGAAUACAAAUAUCUUUUCCCAAAUUGUAGUUUCUCUUUUAACUGUGUCUUUAGUAACAUUUAUUUUUUAAAAAUUCUGAUUUUAAUACAGUUAAGCUUAUUGAUAUUUUCCUUAAUUAUUUGUGCUUUUAUGUUAAGAAACCUUUCCAUAUGCCUUAUAUUUUCUCCUGUUUUAAAGAUUUUCCUUCUAUACUUAAACUACUAAUCUUCUUCAAAUUUAUUUUUGUUUAUUGUAUCUUACAUGAGCCCAUUUUAUUUUUCUUAAUAUGGAUAAUCCAUUUAUCCCAAAACUGUUUAACAAAUUAGUCAUCCUUUACUGACUAAUAUGCAGUAUCAUUUGCCUACAUCGAAUUUGUUUUUAGUAUUUUUAUUUCAUCCAAUAUAAUGUUCUUCUAUCCUUAUACUAAUAUCACAGUGCCUUACUUACCAUAACGUAAUAAUAUUCUUGAUAUUUGGUAAAAUAAAUCUCUUUGUUCCUUUUUUAAAUUGUCUUGGCUCCUCUUGACAUUUUAUUAUUCAAUAUGAAAUUUAGGAAUAGCUAGUUUAGUUCAUCAGAAGUUCUGCUGAAUUUUAUUUGAAAUUACAUUAACAUUGGAGAAUAAUCUGGGGAAGAGGUGACACAUGUCUUCUGGACAUUAACUCUAUACCUAUACUUCUUCAAGUCUUUUUUAUAUUCUUUAAUAAUUUAUAAUUUGCAUCAUGAAAGUCUUGUGACUAUAUUUUUAAUUUCUUCAUUAACUUAGUUUUUUGUGCUUUAUGUGCAGAAUCAGUCUUUCAUUUCAGUUUAUUAUUAUUGGUAUAUAUCCAGUAACCUUGCUGAAUUCUCUUAUUAAUUCUAAUAGCUAACCUUAUAAUUCUCUUUUCUAUAUGGACAUCUAUAUCAUCAGUAAAUAAUGACACAUUUUCUCUUAAACUCCAAUUCUUAAAUGUUCUAUUUCUUCUUCCUAUCUUAUUCUAUUUUUAACCCUCUGUAUAGUGUUAAAUAAAAGUCAUGAUAUCAGGAAUAUCUAUUUUUUCUUACUUUUAUAGAAAUGUUUUGGAAAUAUGUUGUUUGCUUGUUGGGGGAGGGUGUUAUGAAAUUCAUGCUUCUGCUUCCGAAAUGCUGGGAUUAUGCUGUGUACCACCACACCCAGCUUGUUUGGCAUUUUGAUAGUCAAAAUUACUAUAUUAGGGAAGUUCCCGUCAUACAUUUAUAGCUUGCUAGGUAUUUUUAAUCAGUAAUACUAGUUAAAUUUUAUCUAUUGCAUUUUCUGCAUCAAUAAUGUCGAUAAAAUUUCCCAUUAAUAUGUUCAUGUGUUAUACUAUACUAAUGUAUUUCCUUAUAUUAAGCAUUUUUUACAUUCCUAAAAAAAUUUUUACUUCAUUUUCAUGUGUUUUUUAAAUCCACUGUUAAGUAACAUUUCCUAACCUCUUAUGUAGUAUGUUUGCAUGGGGAGAUUAGUUUUUAAUUUUUAUUUUUUAAAACUGUUAUUACAGAGUCUUAGUAUUAUGGUGAUAAUAGACUUAGAAAAUAAAUUUAAUAGCACUCUUACUUUUUCUAAUUUCAAAAUUUUUUAUACUCCAGGGCAGUGGUGGUGAACCUAUGGCACAUGUGUUAUUUGUUUUUCUUUUAAUACAAAAGAUGUUAAUGUAUGAGGUUUUUUUUUCUAAACUGAAACCUCAGUAUUAAGGUUUAAUUGCAGUGUUGGCACUUUGCGAUAAACAAGUGGGUUUUGGGUUGCAGUUUGGGUACUCAGCCUCUAAAAGGUUCACCAUCAGUGCUACAGAGAUUACCCAGGGAUAUAUUCAUAUAAUUUUCAAUUUUAAAAUCUUUAUCACCGCCCUGUUUUCUCCAGUAUUAUUUAUCUGAACCUUUUCUUUCACUAAUUGCCAGACAUUUUUCUGUUCCAUUUACUUUUUUUCAAAAGCUGGCUUUUGAUUUUGCUUAUUAACACUAUUUUGUUCUUUGCAUUCUGUUACUACUCUCUGCAUUUUCUUUCUAUGUCAUAAAAGUUUGAUGCCAUUUUCCUUUGACAGGAUGCUUGAAUUAUGACUUAUUUAAUUUCAAAAGCUUGUAUUAUAUUUAAAAAUUAAUUUCAUGCUCUAAAUAUUCCUCUAGGUUUCUCAUUAGCUGCAUACCGUAUUUUUAUAUUUAGUUUUGUUAAAUUUUAAAUAUUUUGUAAUGACAUUUUGAUUUAUUUUUAAGGCUAGAGUAUCUAGAAGUAUAGUUUUUACUUUCUAAAUAUAUUUACUGUGUUUUGAUUAUUGAUUCUGAAUUUAAAUAUAUUGUAAUGAAAAGAUGUGGUUUUAAUUGAAAAUAAUUCUUUUUAAAUUCCUUUUUGUGACUAUUCAGUAGUUAGAUUUUACUGCUGGGCCUGAAAUCUAGAUAGAUUAUCUGUUUCUUCAGUACACAUUCUAAACUGCUUAUCAAUAUAUUUCAUUACAUAUUUUUCUAGCAAGAAAAUAAACUUUUUAAUAUUUCUGGUACUCCCCUUAAUGUAAGAAAGGUAGCUAGUAUAUUUUAUCUACCUAUUAAGUAUCAAUCUUGUUAGUGUAAUUGUUGGAGCUUUACUUGUAUCUGGUUUUCAUCAUACGGAAAUGUGAUUAUCAUUGAUUUCUAAACCACGGUUUAAUUAUAUGUACUUAUAAAUUUUAGAUAUAACUAUGCCCAUGGUCGUUGUUGUUGUACCCUAUGGUCUCCUUUCUGGGUUCACUUUUCUUAUUGUUAAAUCACACUUUAUAGGCAAUUCUUUACUGCGAGCCCUGGGUAGUACACCCUUUUUGUAUGUCUAAAACUAUUUUUAUUUGUCUUUUAUCAUAAAUUACAAUUUUGAGUAUUUUUGCUCAGCAUGUUACAGAUAUUACUCAGUUAUAUCUGUGACUAUUGUUCAGUCAACUAUUCUUAAGAGAAAUCUGCUAUCAAUUUUAUCUUUUUACAGGUAAUCUGCUUUUCUCCUCCUGGCAGCUUUUAAGUAUUUUAUCAUCUGAUAGUUUCUCUUAAAUAUGAUUAGUUGUGGAUUUAUUUGUAAUUAUCAGUCAUGAACUCAGUGUAUACUAUUUAAUCUCAAGACUUCAAUUCUAGAAAUUCUGAUAUUAUCUUUUCCCUGGUCAUUUUUCAUUGCCUACGUAUUUUUCUUCUGGAAUUUUUUUGUUUGUUUGUUUUGUUUGUUGAUUUUUUUUUUUGAGAUAGGGUUUCACUGUGUAGUCCAGGCUGGCCUUGUUCUCCUGGUUCUUCUGGAAUUCCCAUAAGAUAUAUGUAUAUGUUUCCUAAUCAAUUCAACAUAUCUCAAAUGCUAUUUCAUUUUCUAAAAGUCUAUUUUAUUUUCUUUCUUUUCUCUCUCUCUUUUAUUUUUUAUUUUAUUUUAUUUUAUUUAUUUAUUUAUUUAUUUAUUUAUUUAUUUAUUUAUUUAUUUUUGAGACAAAGUCUUGCUAUGUAGUCUUGACUUCACUAUACAGCCCAGUCUGGCUUCAAACUCCCAGUGAUUCUCCUGCCUCCGCCUCUUUACUACUUGGAUUAAAGCGUGUACCAACACACUUGGCUAAAAAUUCUAUUUUACUUACUUGAAUUUUUUUUCUGAAUAUUUUCCUUAAAAUUACAUGCUAGCUCAGUGUUCUCCUAAAAAUUGCCCUCAUAAGUUAUGCCAUGUAUUGCACUUUUAUUGUCAAUGAACACAUUUUGAAAUUUUAAGAUUUCUGACUGAUUUUUUAAUCUUAUUAACCUGUUCUUAUUUUACUGCUGUUUUUAAUGUAUAAUUUCUUGUUCUCUUAUGGUAUAGUUAUCUCUGAGCAUCUCAAACAUAGUCCUGUUGAGGUCAUUGUGAAACUCUAAAAAUCAAAUUCAUCUGGAGUGAAUCUUAUAAUAAUUGACUCUGUUGGUUGUUUUCCUUAGAUUAGAUUUCUGACUACAUUUUAGAAUUUUGUCUUGCAGGGUCAUCUUGGUCCUAGGCAUUUUUGUUUUCUCUCUUUUCUUUCCCUUUUCUUUUCUUUGCUUAUAUGUCCUAAACUAUUGCUUUUCCUAUAGUUUCUAUCUGGAUCCCUGAAUUCCUAGGCCGAAUGCAGAUCUUACGGUGGCAGCUUUUAGUUUCAUCUCCAUAUUUGAUCAUAAACCUAUGUCUUUUUCUUUCUGCCUUGCAAAGAGGCAACAGUUGGCCAAAGCUGUGGCAGCCUGUUGCUGAAGUAGUAAGCCAGAGUCAGGCUCACCAUUUCAUAUGGAGCCUUGUUGACCCCAAUACUCCGAGGACUAGGCUUUCAGACGUCUUUGUGUGCUUCCAGGUCCAGAUUUCAGUAUGCCUAUCUAUGGCUUUAGCACCAUUCACUGGUUUUGUUUCUUUCCAUAAAUAAUCAUCUUAUUAAAAUCCAAUUCUACCUUUUUGGUUUUCUCAUGUUAUAUGGAAUUUUUAAAGUUACAGUAUAUUUUGAACAGCACAGCUUUAAUUUUUUUUACCUCUUUUUUAUGCAGAUGCAUCAUUUAAAAACAAAUAAUAUUAUAAAUUACAGUUACUAUUUAAUGUUAAAUUGUGAUGGGCACUGAAUUUUACAUAGAUUACCUUAUUCAAUUCUCUCAGCUAUUCUGAUUCCCAUUAUAUCGAGUAAGAAAUUGAGAGAAAGUAAGCUAAAUAAAUUUUCACUUAGGAAAAAGGUUAUAAUUAGUAAAUGGCAGGAAUAACAUUUGAAUCCCAUUUUCCCUACUAACAGAAUUGGUGUCUUUAAACUGUUAUCCUGUGCUAAAAUUCUGUAAUUUUUUAACUUAUUUCUUUUUAACAAACUAAUUUAAAUAAUUUCUAUUUUUGUAAAAAAAAUAGUUCUAGUCCUAUUUAGAAAUCUUAUUUUAUGUUUUCUUUGCUUUUAUGCUUCCUGUUUCUCAUUCUCUUUCUCUCUCUCUCUCUCUCGCCUCUUGCUCCCUCCUUCUAUAUCUUUCUCUUUUGAUAUAUGAUUAUAUUGUUUCAUCUGCUAUUGAUCUGGUAAUUUGGAUGUAUUAAAACAUAGUUUUUUCUAGUAAUAAUUACUGUCAUUUGUCCAAAUAAAUUCAUUUCUAUUUUAUUAGCAUUAAUGAAAGUGUAUACUGUAAAAAAUAAGGAGUAUAAGAUGCUAUUUCUUCAUACAUCUUCUGUCACCCGAUUUCUGAUUUUUUUUCUUAUAUUACCUUACGUCAGAUAUUGAACAUUAUUAUUAUUGAUACAGCAGUAGAAAGAAUAAUCACCAAAAAGGUGGCUUAUUUUAGGUAGCAGAGUGAUUCUAGCACUAAACAGGUGCUCAGUAAAUACUUAUCAAGUGUUAAAUUAACAAACAUGUUCUUUUUAUCACAUGUGCACACAGAAAAAGAAAACAGGUGAGACCUUUUUAGAGUCUUCAUUUGCUAUUGCAUGACUUCUUAUUUCAUUUAGAACUGGAAUUUUGUAAGCUAUUGAACCACCAUAUAAUACAAUAAAUAACUCUCGAUUCUUUUGUUAAGCAGAUCUAUGCUUUGUGAAGCAGCCUUUUGCAAUCAAUGACUUUACAUUCAAUUUAGUUCCAUUCAUCCCUAUUUUUACAUUUUCUCCUUGUGCUCUACUCCUGACCCCCACAAUUCAUAAAUAUAUUUCAUAAGUCUCAAAUCAGUAACUAAUGUUUUCAUUGUGCAAAUACUAUGAGAUUCUUGGAUAUAAAGUAGUGACUAAAUGGCAAUCAUUUUAUCAUAUUAAAUGUCUCUUUACCCCAGUUCUUCAAGAAUAGUUUGUGUGGUUUAUUGUUUAAGGAAAGGAAUUUUUGAAGUAAUGCUACUGUUUUAUUUUUGGUGGUAGUUCUCAAAAUCCCCAACUAUAGUCAAAGGAAAUUCUUUAUAUAAAUUUCUAAGAAAAUGGAUUUUUUCAUUGAUAUAAAAAGAAACUUUAUGAUGAUCUAAAACAUGCUAGAGUAAAAACACUGUGCUUCUAUUGUAGCAAAGCAGUUAAAUAAAACAAUAUAGAAUAGCAAAAAAGAAAAAAGAAAACAAAGUAUAAACUGGGUCAUUUGUUGAUGUGCAAAUUUUAUGGAAAUUUUAAUGACACAUUUGAUUGAUUUAUAAGGAGUCUAUAUUAUACUGUUAUAAGAACACUCAAGCCUUCUAUGUGGCAUAAUUUUAACAAUCUUUUAUACAUAACAACAGAUUGAAAUUAAACUGUCUUCCUAGCUGUUUCUAUUCUUUAAAUUAUAAAAUGAUUUUUAUUAUUCUCUUUUUAAAACUGUUGACUGAGAAUCAGGAAAUUUGGUUUCUAGUCCUAGUUCUGUCAUUUAACUGGCUGUAUGACCAUGAGUAAAUCAUUGAACUCUUUGCACCGAUUUGUCUUUCAUAAUGUAGAAAGUUGGAAUUGAUGCUUGAAAAUGUUCUUUCCAUUUUUUGUGUUCUAGUAUUCUACAUUGUAUCUGUCUAUAUGCAGAAACAUAUAUAAAAACUUAACUCUAAGUAUGUUUAGUUACUUUUCUCUUUGCUGACACAAAAUACCCAACACCCAGAGUUAAAGGAGGAAAGGUUUAUUUAGCUCACAGUUUGUAGAGGAUUCAGUCCAUAAUGGGCACAAGGCAGAGGGGCAACAGUUCACGGCAGUGAGAGAUAGCAAAAGAAAUAAGAGACCUUAACAGUAUCAUCCUCCCCCCUUUUAUCUUAUCCAGACUGCUUAGGGCUGGUAGCACUCACACCCUUAAUCCUAGUGCUCUUGAGCCUAGCAUUAAACCAUGAAUCAAUUCCAGCAUCACACACUCUAGAUCCAGCCACCUCCAAAAAAGCCCCACCUAAGAACACAGGAGGCCUUGGGAAGACAUCUAAACACAAGCUAUAGCAAUGUAUACAAACUAUAACAGUGCCCCAUAUACCAGUAGUUUAAGCUGUUCGACAGACAUCAUGAGGAAAUAAGUAAGGGGGAACUGCUGUAGGCUCUUCCUCUGAACUGACAGAAUGAAAGCAUUUUCAAAAGUAUUAUUGGGCAUCAUUGUGCAAAAUGGAUCACAACAGAAGUAAUCAACCAGGCUGAUUUGGUGCCUUGGAUCAGGGUAAGAUAAGGAAAGUGCACACCAUAGUGAUACAGAGAUGAAGUAUAAUCACAAGGUAUGAAGAUACUGAGAUAUAUAUUCAUUCAAAAAUAAUAGCUAAAAGUAACAUUUUUAAAAUCAUGAAAGGAAAUACAAGUAUCUAAUAAACAUGAAAAAAUAUCUCACUAGCACUCAAUACAAUUUAUAAAAAACAAUAAAUCUCAAUGCUAGUAAGUAUGCAGUAAAAUAGGCACAACUGAAGAAUUUCAGUUUACUCACCUUCUGAAAUACAGGUAUAUAUAGAUUUUCACUUUCCCCCACCAGAACCACAUCAUUUUUGUUUCCAUUGCCUGUUGUUUCUCAGAGUUUCUCUGUUUCUUUUUUGGAUCCUUGUACCUUUGCCUUAGGUGAUCACCCUGCACUUUGACAUUCCAAAACUUCAUUUCUUCAAUCAUUUCUGCCCUUACUACACUGAAACCACAUUUACAUGCACAUGAAAUCACUUUCCCUUAUCCUAAAGGAGGAAGUCUGUCUAGAUCAUUCUGUGUGUUACCAAUUAUCUUUAACUUCUAAAUUUGUUAUUAUAAAAAUUGUUGCUCUAAUAAUGGCAUUUUGAGUAAUUGAAUAGAUGAAAAUGAAGUAAAGAACACAUUCAUGAUGUUACUGCAAAGUCAUUUUUAUUCAGUGGAAAAAAUGCUACUGAUAAACUUAUUAGGCACCCUUUUCAAGAAUAGACUCUCAGUCAUCUGCUCUAUGUAAAAAUGAAUAAACAUAACAACUUACUGGGGUCUGUACCCAGAAAUUUAGCCAAAAAAGAAACCCACGUGGGAAGAAUGAACUAGAUAAAGUUUUAUCAGUUCAAAAUACCCAACUACUUAGUAUGGUCCUUUUCUAACAAAACUGUAUAAGUAAAAACAUAAUUGUCUUUAAAACCUAUAUUCCUUACCCUAGCCUAUGGCAAAGUACUGAAGAAAGUAAAAGUUUCCAGACAACGCCCUUUUACCCUUGUGGGAGGAGAAUGAGCACACUCUAUCCAGGCCUCCACAGAAGUACAAGUCAUUUGUGGAUACGCUCAUCUCCUUUUCAGAAAGUUUUCCUGAACUUUUUCAGAAGGCAGAGACUGUGUGUCUUUAUUACCUCAAAUUCUGUCAAAUUGCAUGAUCAUUGGAUGCACUGAUAUAGGAUUAGCAGUUUUAUUAGGCUUAUUUUAGUAUCUAAAAUAUAAAGUAAAAGUCACUUGGCUAUAAAUGCUUACACUUUUUACUCUAACUCAUCUUACUAGCAUUUAGGUGAAUGUCUUAGAAUGAUAAUAUUAUGGAGUUUUGAACAUCUUUGAGAGUAAAUAACUUUCAAAAACCUAUUUUUCUGCAAGAUUGAGAGUGAAAAUAGUAUAGUUCUUAAGAGCUCUUUUGGUUAUUAGUGUGGCAUUAAUAACAAGUUAUUAAAUCUCUGAAUUUCAAUUUUCACAUCUGAGAGAUGGGAAUAGUCCUUGUAGUGGGGAUUAGAUAAGAUACUGCUUAUCAAACAGCAUGAUGCCUCCCAUUAUGACUAGAGUUAAUGCCUCGCAGGACCAGGAUGGGUGUCUGUACUCAUGCUUCUGGACCGCUGGGACACAGCAUGUGGUAUACCACUCAGGCACUUACCUGACUCCAAGUCAGAGAAUGUAAGGACAUAAAGUAGUGUUUUUCAGUCUUUAGGAGCAUAAGAAUUACUUGGACAACUUACUUAGAGAGCUCUUAGUUCCACCACAAAAAAAGAGUAAUUCAAUUGGUUUGCUGUGAGGUGAGGCCCUGAAGUAUGUCUUUUUAACAUGUCCUUCAGGUGUUUUUGGUGUAGCUGAUCCUAGACCAAGCUCUGAGUCACCCUGGCAUCAUGACCCCAUCUCAACCUUGAUCAUAGAUCACCUGCAGCCCCUUGCAUUAUUCCCUAGGAGUUACCCUCCUCAAUGCUAGUGGCUUUGCUAUGGGAAACAUAGCUGUCUCCACCCCUUCACUUCAUCUUUCUGAAGACAGAAGAAAAGAAUAGAGAAGGCAGGGUCAAUUGAGAAAACUUGAGUAGCUAUAGCAAAUUGUCAAUUAUUUUUGCCUUAGUCCAAAAGUGAGCUGACUUGUAUGGAAAGCUUGAACUUUAGAACAAUAGUUUCCCCCCAUAACUGAGGAAUGGCUGGGUAUAGUGAAAUCUAUCUCUUGUUUUUUUAUGGAACUACUAUCUAAAGAAUUUAGAAGAAUAAGUACAACUGAAGUGCAAAGUGUUAAAUGCAUGCUUCGAUUUAGUCAAUGCAUUUGCACAUUGAAGUAAUUAGGAUGUAUUUAAAAGCAUUCUGCUUGCAAUACUUUGUUCUCCAUUUCCUACAAAUUAAAUUAGUGAGGGGUAGAUUUGAUUUUUACAUCAUUUUGAAAAUAUUUUCUUUUUCUUUUUGUAAUUUCCUUAGUAUUACAUUUUUACAAAGUUCAGAACAUAACCAACUGUGACUAAAUUCAUAAAAAUAAAACAAAAAGCCCAAAGUGCAAGAAAAUGAAAAACAGCACAAAAUAAUAUGCAGAAGAACAACAUAAAUUAUACCUUAAAAAUAUAGUUGUAGUAAUAUACCUUAUCCAUGUCUGAUCAAUUAAUAAUAAAUACUCAGAUAGCAAAUAACUCAUUCUAUUGCUUUGAUUGAGAUCCCCAAAUUUAAUUAUUCAUCUUAAUGCAAAUAAAUAGGGACAGCAGGUCUACUUAGAAAAAUCUUAACAAUCUCCUGUUUUCAUUGUACUAUAUAUAAUGCAAUGAAUGAAUAUAAAUAAAGAGUAUAAAGGGUACUUUGCUUCCUUACCUAUAAAGUAUUCAAGCAAGAUUAUUUUUUAAAGUAAAGUUAGAUUUGCAGAACCAAGAAAUGGUUAUGGAGCUAUGUAGCAUAAACAAAGACAGACUGGAGUUUAAAGACCAACUCUGCACACUGCCUGAAUAAUCUUCAACAAGUUACUUCACCUCCCUGGGUCUCAGUUUUUGUAUCUGUAAAGUGGAGGUAAUAGUAUCUAUAGUGCAGAUUGUUGUACUAAUAUCCAUUUGAAGUGCCUGACUUUUAAUAUAUUCUCAAUUAGUGACAGUUAUUAUUAUUAAUUCAAGAAAUAAUAUAAAAGUGUCCCAAAAUGAAAAAAAAAAAAACCUAACCAGAAAUAUUCUGUGAUCUCACUUUCCCAGGGGCUAAUAACAUGAUUCACAGAUUUUAUCCUUAAAAUGUUUCCUAUAUUGCAAAUUAAUGGCCUCAAAAUACAUGUUGAGAAAUCCCCUUUAUAUUAUUGGAGUUCACAGUUGAAUGAAUAAAUUUUGCCAAAACAAAUUAUUAUCAUAUUCUUUUGAAGAAAAACAGUACUUUGGAUUGAGCUCAGAUAAAUCUAUUUCUUCCUAUUCUUUCUGUACUAUUAUAACUGUACAAGUAUACAUACUUACGCAUAGAAGUGAAGGAGAAAGAAUCAAGAAUAACAGAAUUAAAUAUGCUUUUUAGGAUACAGAGAUGGUGCCCCCUGUUCAGCCCUGUGAUUCAUAUAUAGAAAAUGUUUAUUACAUGUUUGUUAAAUAAAUGGGGAGAAAAUUGCUAAGAAAAUAUCUGAAUAGCAUAAAGGAACUAGCUCAAAAAAUAGUAUAUACAAGUCAUCAGAGAGAGCUAAAAACUUACCUGUGGGUAUCAACAACUCUUUAAUUAGGUUGGUUUAUUGUGAAAUUACAGCCAUCUUUGUCCAGGACCACCAGUUCUUAGCUGAGGAGAUAACUAGGAGAGCUUACUGACCUUUAGUCAGAGAAAUGAGAUAUAUCAGAAAUGGAAGGAACUGUGAAGAUUUUCUAAUCCAAGGGGCAUAUUUUUCAGCUGAAGAAAUUGAAUGAUACUAAUACGCUUGGUGCCUAAGUUUGUUGGUUCUUGAACUUGAGUUUCCUAAUUUUGGUCUUGUUCAUUUUAUAGGGCGCCGGGUUGUCUUUGUGUUCCCUGACUGCCUGUUCUCCUUAUAUGCAUAGCAGCUUCUCUUCCUAUGUCCAGAACAGUACAGCAGAGUAUCUUGCUGUGCCUCUGAUUAGAUUCAUCUCCUCUAGUAUGUCAUUUUUCCAUAGCUCUUAAAAGGCCACAGUAGAUUUUUUAAAAUAUAUUCCAAGUGGACAUUAAUAAAAAAAAUAAAAAGCACUGUUCUUCUAUGAAAAAAUAAAUCAAAAUUUCAUGACAAAAUAAUUACAGAAUAACAAUAGUUAAUACAUUGUGUAUUAUAAUCUUUAAAAAAAAUGGCCAAAAUGUUACUCAGAGUUCAAGUCAUAGACAAAAAAGACUCUUAUAAAGAAGAAACAAACAAAUAAGAGCACAAAACUUUCUCUUUAAUGAAAUGAAUUAGCAUACAUAUUAAAAUAUUUUCAAAGCUACAGAAUAGAUCAUUUGGGAAUUAUUUGGACUUUUCCCUACUUUCUAUUUAUCUAUCUUCUAUUUUGAUAUAUUUUAUAUAUUUUUAAUUUUUUUAAAAAAAGAGAACCCAUGUGAUAUUUAAGCUUGUCUGUCUGGCUUAUUUCACUUACCUUUAUUCUCAUUAGUCACAUCCAUUUGCCUACGAAUGCCUCAAGUGUAUCUUUCUUUAUGGUAGACUUAGUAUUCCACUGUGUAUGCAUACCAAACUUUCUUUAUCCAUUCAUCUGUUGGCAGACAUGAAAAAUGCAAAUUAAAACUACGUUGACAUAUCUUCUUACCCCAGAAAGAAUGGCUAUCAUCAAAAAAAUCAAAUAAUAACAAAUGCUGGUGAGGAUGUGGGGAAAAAGGAACCCUUCUACAUUGUUGGUGGAAAUGUAAACUAGUGUUAACCACUGUGGAAAUCAGUAUAGAGAUUCCUCAAUAAAAUAAAAAUAAAAAUUCCAUUUGACCCAGCUACGUCAUCAUAUUACGUACAAGGAUACUUGCAUACCCAUGUUUAUAGCAGCACAAUUUAUAAUACCUAGGUCUUGGACAAAACAGAUUUUUAUCUGAUCUUUAAAUUCAUUUUUUAUUAAGAAAUAAAUUAAUAUAUUAAGUUUUUAACCAUUAAUAACUCAUAUAGAUAACCUUAGCUGUUUUUCAGGUGAUUAUUAGCUGGCACUAGAUAGGAUGGAGAACAAAGAAUUGUUAUAAUUUCAUUGGAGAAAAAGUGACAGGAGAGUUCUGUCCUCAAGGUACUACUGAGGGGAAGGCAAGGUCGGGCAGGCUGUGGCAGGAGGGUCUAGAGAACCCAGGAAGUCACCUAAGGAUUUGAAUCUUAGAAAAUAUUUUAAAAUGUAAGAAAUAAAAGAAGGGGUAGGUAAAAAAAACUUUGUAGAAGAGUACUGCAAGAAGAUUUGAUGAUUCGUUCUUGUGGUACAUCAUUUACUGUCUUUGUAACUUCCUUGCUCAGUGUAGAAGCCUUGUGUUCACAUUGUUUGUGUCCUGUUGCAACUUACUUGUACAUAGCUGCUGUAAAGUAAUGAUUAGAAUACCUGGAAUCAGGGAUUAAUGGCAUCUAUAAGGGAAGAAAUAUAGCUGUGUGGUAGGUAAAUAUCAUCUUUAUCCACAUAAAGAAUGAAAUGUGGCUAGCUGUUAAUAGUGAGUUAAACUGGCAUACCAAGAAUUUUUAUAAAUGGUUUUCCCAUGCUCCAUUGAAUCUGUGGCUUAGACUUUGGUUGUAUACCAGCUGUGCAUGCAAAAUCUCAUAAUUAUUCUUACUGUAUUAAGCAUUUUAUAGCAAUUUUAGCUCUAAAAUGCUAUGCAAUAGUUUUUAUGCAAGUAUACCAGACAUGUAAGCUGUUCCAAUGAAAACAUUUCCUUUCUUUUAGACACAUGGUUUUACGUUUCCAAACUUAGCUGUUUCCAUUGAUGGAAGAAUCUUUAGGACAGAAAUCUGGUUUUCUUUUUUUCUUUUUGUUUGGGGUGGAGUGGGGGGGGUGACAGUUGAAUUGUCUCUCAGUACUUUAUUCCUUUAUACAGCCUCAUCAGAAAAGGGACAUUUUACUAAUUGUAUAAUACUGAUAUUAACAAGUGUUGCUGCUGAGCACUAGUUCCUCCACCUGUCAUAUUCAGAAAGGUGCCAGUGAGGAAGCUAGACUGAUCUCUGAAUCCUUCCAGGGUACUGUGGUAAACAAGCAGAAGGACAUGGACUUAACCUCUUUGGAGAAGGCUGACACCUUCAACACUGCUGCACAUGCAGCUGCGCCCUGCAGUGGCAAGUCUUGGGUCUGAGCCCAAAACUGGUGUGGAGUUUGAACCCUUGGCAUUCUGGCCUAGGGCCAAGUGCUAUCAAUGGAACCCCACUGACACCUUUAGUUAUUCUUCCUAGAUUAGGAUAGUAAUUUACUUGUCUCUUUGAUUUCAAGUGUCUGGUUUUGUUUCCAGAUGCCUCCCAGUUCAUCUGUAUUCCAGGGGUUUCAAAAGACUUUAACCUCAUUGGUUCUUUCUUUUGUUAGUUCCAUUUGGUGAACACAGGAGGGAUAUAGAGAGACUAGAGAGGCAAGGGAGGGCGUGUGUGUGUGUGUGUGUGUGUGUGUGUGUGUGUGUGUGUGUGUAAUGUAGGAGUAUGGGGGGGGGCUUGGGGAAACUGCAGGAAUAAAUGAAAGGCAUAUUCACUUUCAAAAUAUCAGCUAUUAUACCAGAGCAAGUCAGAAUGGAGUUUAAGAGGUGAUAUGCAGGACAAUGUAAUGAAAAAUGUUAUUAGAUAGGUGCAUGUGUAAAAGCCCUCCAACCAGCAGUAAUCUCAAUCUCUCCCAAACGAUUACAAUAUAUGAAAGAGAUGGAGAGACCAUAGAAAUUUUAUCCCAAUGCCAAUAAGGUAACAGCACUUGGAUUUUAACAUGUGAUAGUAGGAAAAGGCAUUUAUGCAUGGGUGUCAUUUUAUGUUUACAAGGGCCUGUCUAGCACUGUUUAUUGAUUUUACUGCAAUUUUUCCCCAGGACCGUGUAGAUAGAUAAUUGCUAGAAAUGUCCAUCAUUAACACAGCAACAAAUGCAACCAUUGCACUAAGAAAAAGAUACACAUAGGACCCUGUUAGCAAGCCUCAAAUGGGGAGGAGGAGAGUCACACAAUAACACGUGCAGCUAUAACUCCAGGCAAACACACACGCACAACACCCUGUGUAGCCAUUGCACUGAGAAAAUACACACAGCCCCCUGUACAGCCAUCACACAUCAGGAAAAUAACACACAUGACACCCCUGCGCAACCAUCACACCAGGCAAAAGCACAGACAUAAAAUGCUAAGUCAAUAGGAAUGAACAGCUCAUAAAAGCCUACUGGAAUAGAUCACAUCACAGCCAGGUACAUCUGUUCUCAGCAUUAACCAUUAUCGUUAGCUUAAAAUGCUUAAAAUCACUGCACAUCCUCAGGUCUAGGGACAGAUUAUUCCAAGAAGAUUCAGCUAAAUAGACUUGGCAAUUCAGUGAAGGGGACCUCUACUACAUUAAAGUGAUGCAUUUUGCAUCUCAAAGGCUGUCAACUGUAUUUAGGGGAACCGUGUGAUUGAAGAACAAUGCUCCACUAUAGGAUAGCAAUUUUUUUUGGUCCUUCUAAACCUGGAGGUGAUUUUUUACCCCAACUUGUGUUAAGCAUACCAUUGAAUGGGUAGCUCUCAAAUUGGGAGGUGACUAAUAAAAGCAGAAUUGGAAAUAGCUUUCAACUUGUGCUGCAAAGGAAGCCAUGACAUUCUUAUUUAAACUGGAACUCUCAGAUGGUGUAUCAUAUCUAAAGAUUUUAGUGAGGUCAGACUUCAAGCCAUCAAUUUGAGAUAAAUAAGUACCAACUACAGUCCUUGCUUCAGAGGGUUGUCUGCCCCUCUGGGGGAAUAAAGGAACCACCCACCUCUUCAUUCACCAGUGCCUUCUCUUUAUCCUCUUGCCUUGGUCUGUGAUGUUAUCCGAACUGUGUGACACAGAAGUUACCACAUGGCAAGGGAAACUCGGCAUGCUUUUCUGAAGAGUGGCCCAAAAGAACAGUAAUGAAGCUGAGAAGACAGUAAAAGAAAUUCGGGGCAAGGUGCCAGACGCCCAGACGGAAGGAGAAUGUGGACCAAAAGAUUGCGACAAUCGGGUUGAGAAAGAAAGCAACCUCAAAAAAGUGGUGGAGAGGGGGUUAGAGAGAAAAAAGAAAGAAAAAAAGGAGAGAAGGAAACAGGGGAAAAUUCCUUGACCAUCAGUUUGUCACCUGCCCCUUCUCUUUAUGUAAGUAAAAGUGGUUUAUUUACCUUUUAAAAAGUUAUGUCAGAUUUGGGGAAUUUUGGUCUUUAUUGACAUCUUUGCUAGCUGACUUGGCCUCUAGCAUUUGUUUGGUGUGUGUUAGCUUCUUUCGUGUUUGGAGUUGAGGCUGUUGGUAGUAGUGGUAUGUUACCAUCCAGGUGGGAGCUGAAAAGACCAGCAGCCCAAGCUCCUGUUCCUAUAUAGACUGCCCUGUACUUGGCCAUGUUGCUAAUUUCAAAGGUCACUGCUCUUCUAAACUGCGGCUUACGUUUUUCUAUCAGUUAUCAGCCAUGAGUUGGGCUAUCAGUGAGUGCACAAUUAUUUAUUCUGCAGUUACUCACCUAUCUAUAGAUCCAACAGUUUUUAAUUUUAACUCCUAGAUCAGAGAUGUCUUUUUACUAAGGAGUAUAAGACAGAAAAUUGAAUAGACUAAAUUUUUGUGCAAAAUUUUUAAAGUUGGGGGAGAUUAAAAGAAAUCUAGGAUUCAUAUGUGCCAAUAGGCAUAUAAAAGAUACCAUUGUAUUUUAGAAAAAAAUGAGAAGUUAUUUGGGAAAAAAACAUUUGAUUUUAAGUGAAAAAAUUUUUUAUUGUUGUUAUUAUUAAUAGAACCAAACCAGGCUAAACUGCUAGGGUUUGGGUUUGAAUAUAUAUUACUCUGAGUUUCUUGAAAGAGGUUCUGGGGCAGCAAAACCAAAAGAUCAAAGUCAGUACAAGAGACACUGCCCAAGAAAUCCUACAGUGAGUGACAGUCACCUGAUGUGAUAAAUAAUCAUCAGCAUCCUUCUGGCUGCAUCUCACCCUCUGAUGCAUAUUGUCCAUUAAAAAUUAUGUCUUAUUUCACUGACUCUUUACUCCAAAGUAUUUCAUGUGUUGUAAUCAUCUGUACAAAGAGGAGGUUAGCAUGGCUUUUUUCCUUAUGUGUAGCUUCCACUAAUAUUCUUAGGAGCUAAUAGCAAAUAUAUUUAGGGGACCUGAGUCCUCCAAAGGAUUUUAAGGCUAAAGUCUAGUUUGACAUUUUAUUUGACAGAGAAAGGCUGGUGCUAUAUGUAAUGCAUUCAUACAGCAGGGGUGGGUCCUACCUUCCCCUGACACGUCUUGUUAUUCCCUGUUCUUGAUGUUGAUAGAGUAGGUCUGUUAAGGCUUUGGAAGAUGUCAGUGUGCAUACUUAUUGUUACCACUUUAUUUAUUUACAUCCUUCUCCUCAGUUACCCAGCACUGCAUAUUUCUAGUCUUCUGACUGGCAAAUCAUUUUUUGUUACAGUUCUUUUGUGUAAAACCAGUUCACAUAAUAGCUCUGUGUUAGACAAGGCAUUAAUCCUCACAUCACCAGAAUGAGUCAGCACCAUGCACUCCUGCCUGCACAGCUCAGCUAUUAUGACGUCAGUGCUUGAGGGCAAGCUUCAGACACAAGCAGUAUGAGAGACCUGUGUCACCUAUUAAAAAUCGAGGAGGAGAACUUUGAGAUAAAAGAUAUAAUUGAAAGGCUGUGUCUGGCUCAUAGAAAAAUGUAAAAUUGAUUCUGUGCUGCAUCAACCAUCAGUCAAGCAGCUUCUUGAGAGAUGGAAUUUUUUUAACCAGAUAUAAGAGGAGGGCAAAGACCUAUGGUAACUUGAUAAUCCGUUCAUAUACUCAUGACCUUGUCCCACCCUGGGACAUAGUUCAUGCUUGCUUGAAUUUUUCCAAAUUCUGAGGUUGCUUUUAUGCCAGCAAGGUGACGGUCCUGCUGUCCUCAAAUGCCCUGUGGUUGUGGCUGAUGGCUUCAGGGAUUGAGCCUCAGAGGCCCAUCAGAAAAAAAGGAACCAUUUCUUGCAAACAGAUCAGAACAUUAUCUCACCAGUGCUUCUCACUCCAAGUGCCUCUUCAGUGGCCUUCUCUGGAUAGGUGCAGAAUUCAGCAGUUUUGACCUCCCUUAGGCACUACAUUUAGUCCAAUGUCCCAAUCUGCAUUUGACCCCAAUUUCAAUAGUAACUGAAUAGCUGCCAGAUUUUUCCCAAGAGUUUUCCUUUCAAUUAGUCUUUUACAGAAACAAACAAACAAAUAAAAAGGAAUCCACCAUAACCUACCGUGCUGUUUUGAAGCAGGUAGCAGAGAGUCAUCCUAUGUGGGAAACCCUGUUCUUAUAAGUUAGGCCUCUCCACAGUUCAGACUGAGACACAUCCUUUAGACAGUGCCUUUCAGUAUUGAAAACCACAUUGUAAAUGGUGAUAAUUUACUGCCUUAGUGAUAUUCUCUGCUUUAAAAAAAGACAUUCCGGGCUAGGGAUUUAGCUCAGUGGUUCUGCCACAUUCCCCACAAGCACAAGGACCUGAGUUCAAUCCCCGGUACCAAAAAAAAAAAAAAAAAAAGACAUUCCUCCAUCGCAGCAUCCAUGUCCCUGCCUUACUCUUACCCCAGCCAAUUAAUCACCAGCCUCUUUGAUAAUCAUCAGAAAAUGCCUUACUGCUGGGCUCUUCCACCUUCAUUAGAUUGAUAAUAGUCUCCUACCAUGCUUAUAAAAGCUAAUACUACUGUUUGGCUUAGUUUUGAUUCAUUAUGCAUAGAUCUUUAUUUUGUUUUCAGUUAACCAAUGUUUAUGGAAAACUUGUUACUAUACUAUGUUCUGGGAACUCCAAAAUAAAUAAGACAUGAUCCUUUUUAAAAAAUGUUACAGUAUAAUAGGGGAGAAAAAUAAGUGAAUAAAGACUAUCUUAUGUGAUAGGUGUAGGAGUGUAGGUACACCCAAGAUGUAUGAAGAAGAAUGAGAAAGGAGUGCCCGUCUGCAUGUGGGGAGGUGUCCAAGAUGAUUCUUAAAGUCAAAACAAUGAAUAUCAGUAUACCAGCUGGAUAGAGGAGAGGUAAAAGGAAGAGGAUUCAUAAUCAAGUAAAACAUGAGAACAUUUAUAAAGUCAAGAGGCAUCAAGUUAUAGCCAGGUCCAUAGGACUGAUUGGUUUUGUGUUGCUGGAGCUCAGUAAGUUGAUUAAAAGAGUAGCAUAAGAGAUGGAGGUGGGAAAGCAGGCAGGGGGAAGAUCACAAAAGGCCCUUGUAUACCAUGCAAAGGAGUCCGGACUUCCUUCUUCAGGCUCAAAGAGAUUUUAAAGAAUUUAAAGAAAAUUUACGUUUUGGAAAGAGCACUCUAUUGUUGAGAUGGCUGACUGAGAAUAGGGAAACCAGGUCAAAGGUGAAAACCAAGGGCCCCAACUGUUCAGUUAGGUCUGGAGUAGAACAGAGAGGCUAUUUGGGAGUAUUGACAUAGGCAUUAACAUUUGCAGAAUUCCAGCAUAUCUUGGCCCACUGCAUAAACCUGCCUUCUAGGAGAAAGGUUAAUAUGUUGAAUGAGGCCAAAUUUCAGACCAAAAUACAUCCUUAUGGGAGCUUCACGGGAGAAUCUCUCUCACCUUACUCUGAGCUGCUGGUCUCCAGGAUUGUGCGUAUCCUGCCCAAAGUAGGCAUGAGGCAAGAGGAAAGGGAGCAGAUAAGAAGAAAAUGUUGCUUUUCUUUCACCUGAAAAUCAAACCAUUUCCUAAUAAUGUCUCCUUAAAGUCAGUUAAUGCCCCAAUUUCCUAUUGUUUUCCCAUUGCUGCUUUUUCCAAGCAGAAUUUUCAAGCCAUUGAACUGAAUUGCAACUUAUGCACAGCCCGGGUGUUGAAAUAGUAAAGUAUAUUCAUCCCUUCUCUCUGAAUGAGAGUUCACCAUAAGUGUGCUUUUCUCUUGUUCACUUUGGGCUUCCAGGACAGUUUAAAGGAAAUGUUCAACAGCUUAUGUCUCACGUACCCUGUUCGCGAGACAAACGGGAAGAUUUGCGUGGGUGUGUUUAAGUCUUCUCUAUAUUGCUUCCUAGAGAAAGGUUUGAGAAGAUGAACAAGAUGGGGAGUAGGGACCUACUGAAAGCCCAGGUCUCUCAGUGACCUGAGUGCAGAACAUAGGCUGGUGAUCAGAUGGUCAAUUAUGUGUUUGUCAAAACACAGUGGGCUGCAUUCCAGAUUGCCAGCUUUGGAGGCCCAGUUUCUGCCAACCAAAUGUCAUCUGGGAACAUGCAACACUGGGCACUGUGAAGGAGUUUGAAAUAGACCACGCCACAGCCAACCUACUGCCACUCUUAUAGCACCAAUAUGGCAUGCACAGCCGGGCCCCAUGUUUCAGAGCUCAGGAAUUCACUGUACUAAAUUCAGGAGGUCAGAUGGGUUCAUGUUUUCAAAGCCUAUGUUCUCUGCUUUGAACACUGUGACUUGCUGCUCAACAAUUUCCAGGGGAUUUUUCCAGUCCCCUGUCUGUGGAAACCACUCUUUUUGUGAUGGUUAUGAGAGCCUUGUAAAUGUCCUGGAGGAAAAGGAAAAAAAUAAACUUGCUCUGACAAUGACUGUGAUUCCUACAAGGGAUUCCAACUCUUAGGAAAUUACAUUAAAGGUGCAUAGCUUUUAAAAUAUCAGGAACCACCUUGGCAACUUAUGAAAAGCAGAAGGGCUUUGCCUAUUUUAUAAAGUGAUUUGCAUAUACCUGCAUAAAUAAUGUCCCCACCUGUACUUUUAUGCAUUUAGGUUGAAUAAAUUAAAUUCAGUGAUCUUUAAAAUAUUCACUGUCUUUCAUUGCUAAGACUCCAUUUUCAGGACCCUUCUCUCUUUUUUUUUUUCUUGUAGUGGUAGUGGCUUAUUUUUUUUUCCCAGCUAAUUCAGAGAAUCAAAACACUGUGCAGACCAGUCUACCACAGCCAGGAGUAUCGUCUCCCGCUGCUUGAAUUUCCCUUAGUUUUCUAUCUAUCGAGCCAUGUCCCAUAUACUUUUCAAGCUAGAAAAUGGAGGAAUAUAUUACUAAGAUGAAAGCAUGGCACAAGAUAGGAUUAAGCUCUGCUACCUAUAUGUAUAUUCAGACUUUUCUUUCUUUGAGCACUGCCAUAGCCCCUUCAGAAACAAUCCAGCUACCUAUCCCAUAACAAUUUUAAGUCGGGCCUUCAAACCGAAGCCUGGCUCAGUAGGCCAGUCUCAGCCACAGUCAUUCCAUAAGAUAUUAUUAAGCACUUAUUAUGUACAAAGAAUCAUGUCUAGUGGAGAAUUAAAACAUAAAUACAGGAUAUUGACCUUAUUGUAAAUGAAUUUGAAAUUGAGUUAGAAAAGAAGUUAUACUGUGGAGUAUUUUGUAUGUUCAUAAGACGGUAAAUGUUGAAGUUGCACAAAGAAUGAUUUAGUCCAGGAGGAACUAUAAGAUUUCAUUCUUGAGAUCUUGAGAGCUAGAAAUUUACAUAUAAAUGUAAAAUGUGAUUCAAAUCGAUCUUUAAAAGUGGCUAGAAUGCAAAAAAGAUAUGGAGAAUGAUAUUUCAAACAAAAGCACUGGGAUCUUUGAGCAGGUCUAUAAGUAGCACUGUUCUUCUUCACCCAAAUUCUAAACCCACUGAAAAAUGAGACAAAAGAAUUGAUAGCUGGGGAAUCAAAAUUCUGUAAAUGUUGGUUGAAGAGUAUAGGAAAAUGGGCUCACUGACUCCCUUCCCUUCACCAUGAACUUUGAAAAACUUUCCUAAGGGAUAAUUUGGACCUUCAUAUAACCAAUACUUUUCCAGGUCAUAAUUCCCACUAGUCUAAGUAGUAAAGAAGGGAGAAUGAGGCUAAACUGUACUUACAAACUGAUAGAUCAAUUCUAUGUAAAUGAGAAAUAUGGACCACAGGCUGUUUUACCAACAAGAUGAUUUGUUUCUAUGGAGAAGUAUAAGGAAUGAGGCAAGAGGUAAACAGUGUUCAGAAAACUUGUUUGUGGAAACUCGGAAUAAGGAAGAUAUAGUCUUAACCAACAUGAAGAUCCACAAGCUGGAAAAUAGGAGCAAGUGAGAUGAACUAGAAGUGGGAUGAAAAUGCAGAACCAAGAGGCUAGAAAAUUUUUUCAUCUGUCUAAGGGGUACCCCUGGGACUAGAAUCAGCAGUCAUUGUGGUUAGCCAAGUGGUUAUACUGAGGACUGCUUUUGGGUGUCUCAAAGUUAUUAGCAACAGAACCUGGAGUAACAGGCAAACAUAAAUAAAUAAAUAAACCUAUUAGGAAAAGAAACACAAACACUUGUAUCUCUUAUUAAACUAAUAACAACAAUAGGACAUAAUGUGGACAUAACAUUUAUUGAAUACUUGCCUUGCUUUUGGUACUAGAUUAAAUACUUUUAAUGGCUAUCUGAUUUAAUUUAUAAAGCUAUAAUAUUAUGUAGAUGCUGUUAUAAUAGUUGUGCAGAUGAAGAAAUUGAGAUUUAGUAAUGUGAUUUUCUCCAGUAGUUCAGUGACCAACAUGAAAAGACAUAAGAAAUGUGUAUUUCAGUUCAAAUUAUGGUGGGGUUUCACCAGUGUUUGUAGACAGGAAUUGCAGUUUUAGUUUUUCUUUUUUGUUGUUUUUGUUUUUGUUUCCCAUCUUUGGUUCUAGCUGAGGCCAGUGUAGAAGGGCAGUGAAAAGGCUCAGCUAAAUUAUCCAAGCAUUUAUUGGGACCUACAUUGUGUGUGAUCCAGAAAAUACUUAGAUGAAUAAGGCACUAUCUCUGCCUUCAAAAAGCUCCCAAUCUAGGGUGGUCUGAAGGCUGCCAUCUGGCCCAAGAGACUAGGAGCAGUUGAUUAAUCUUUGCUAAAAGACAAGAGGACUCACAUCUCCCUUUUCUUUUUCUUUCUUUUUUUUUUUUUGCUGGCUCCUUCCCUUCCUCUACUCUCCCUACCCUUUCCAUUCCCAGUCAUUGUUUUUUUUCCUCAAAAAAUAUCUCUCUGCCUUGUUGCCAAGCCUCUAAUAAGCUUCAAGCAUAUAUGAAUGACAAGUCUGAUUUUUCUCACUAUCAUUUUGCUAAAAUUUGACCAUUUAGAAGCAAUUAGAUCAUCUACUUGAAGUGGUGUAUAGCAUGAAUUUUCUCUAAAUUUUCAGAGCUGGCAUCUAACUAUUCAAAAGGUUAUUUAAGAGGAAAUGAGAGAUGAAGGAUGGGUAGGUUGGAGAGAGAAAAAAAGGAAAGAAAGAAGGAAAGGAAGGAGGAGAAAAAUGUAGGAAAAGAAAGAAGGCUAAUUACAGAAGACUUUUAGGGAGUUCAAAAUGGAACUCUGAUUUGAAAUGAAUAAAUGAGUUUCUGUCUCUAGUGUUGAUCUAAACCAUCAGCUUCCAGAGUGGAAACCUGAAGCAACCAGAAUAUUAUAGAUUGAUGAAAUUCCAGCUGCUGGCAGAUUUUUUUUUAGUUUUUAAAAAAAAUCAUAUUAGUACAUAUGUGCAGUAUAUGAUGAUUACAUUCCUUACAUGGAGUUGAUACAUGUCCAUAACACGUUUUAAUUUUUUCACCCCCUUUCCUUUCUCUCCCUUUGUACUCCCUCCAUCUCUUGAUUCCGUUCCCAUUUAAGAAAGAUCUAUCUUCCUCCUUUCUAUUGUCAAUCUUUUAUUUUGCACUUUAUUUAUAUUUUAAGUAAAAACCAUAUGACACUUAAACUUGUGUGUCUACUUUAUUUAACUUAGCAUUAUCCAUUUCCCUACAAAUGACCUGUUUGUGCUUCCUUAUGGCAGAAUAGUGCUCCAUUGUGUGUAAAUGCUACAUUUUCUGUACCCAUUCAUCUGUUGAUGAACAUAUAGGCUGCUUCCAAGAUUUAGCUACUAUGGAUUGUGCUGCUAUAAAUAUGGAUAUGCAUGUAUCACUGUAACAUGCUGCUUUUUGGGGAAGACACCAAGAAGUAGAGUAGCUGGAUCAAAUGGAAUUUUUAGUUUUAGUUUUUUGAGGAAUCUCCAUACUGAUUUACAUGGUGAUUGCAAUAGUUUACAUUCUCACCAAAAAUGAAAAAAGGUUCCUUUUCCGCACAGCAUCACCAGCAUUUUUAUUAUUUGAUUUUUUGAUGAUGGCCAUACUUUCUGAAAUAAGAUUAUAUCUCAGUCUUGUUUUAAUUUGCAUUCCAGUAAUGGCCAGCAGUGAUGAACAUUUCCUAAUGUAUUUAUUGGCCAUUAGUAUGUCUUCUGAGAAGUGUCUAUUCAUUUCAGUUUCCCAUUUUUUCAUUGUGUCUUUUAUUUGGGAAGUGUAACUUUUUUUUGAGUUCUUUAUAUAUUCUAGAUAUUAAUCCUCUGUGUGAGGAAUAGCUGACAGUUUAAGAGAAUAUAUAAAGAGGAUGUGAAGGAGGUGAAAAAUCCUAAUUUCUGGUAGAAUCCUUUCCUGAGAUUUAUUCUGAGCAUUAUAAAAUGAUACUUUAAGAAGAAGUAAUAACAUAAUGCCUUUCCUUUAUUGAAGCACAUUCUAUUCUGCUAAAUUCCCUUUAGGAAAUAACAUUAGGACCAUUUGAAUCAAAAUUAAAUUGCAGAUACAUCUGGGGUAAAAUUUACCAGCUGUUGAGUGAAGGAGCUGUAUUUUUUAAUAUUUACUUCUUAUAUGAUUGUAUAAUUUAUAAUUAUUAUAAAAUGUUAAGAAAGCAGAGAGUAAGCAGAAAACAUCCAUAAUCCCAUUACAUUGAAACAACCAUUAUUAACAAAUUUUUAGAUCACCUUCAAGUGUCUUUGCUAGACUUUAACAUAAUUGUGCAUAUAUUUCAUACAUAAGGUUGUAUCUUAUUUUUAAUUCAGUAUUAUUUUUUAAAUUUUUUCCAUUAAGUUUAUUGGUACAUUUUAGGUAUAAAAUACAGUUACAUUCAUCAUUGGGAUCUUGUACCUUUACAUGAGUAUCUUGGUUCUUAUUUUUUUCUCCUUCCCCUGCCCUCCCUUCAACCCCUCUACCCUUCCCUAUUUGCAAAGACUGUUUCCCUUUUUUUCCUUUUCUCAUAUAUUUUCUUUUCCCUUCUUUCCUUUCCCCUACCCCUCCCACUUCCCCUACUCCUUUAGACCUUUUCUUCCUAUGACACAAUCUCAAUUAUACAUUUUUUAAAUUACAAUAUCAAGAUCUAGGAGACAUUACCACAUAUUUUAUAGAAUUUAAAAGGAUAUAGAAGGCAUAUUACAAAAAUCUUUUUUGAAAUAAAUUUGACAACUUCUAAGAAAUACCUUGGAAGACAAAUUAAUGAAACUAUGGAGGAAAUAUAAAAUUUGAAUAGCAACUAUUAAAGAAAGUAUAUUCCCAGCUUGAAAACCUACCUUUAUGACAACAGCAGACUCAUAUACAUUUUAACUGAUAAAUUAUAUCAAACAUUUAAAGCAGAAAAAAGAAGGAACACUUCUCCCCUCAUUUUAGGAAAUCAACGUUGUACUAAUACUAAAACUGGAUAAAGAUAAUAGAAGAAAAAAAGUAUGAACAUACAUAAAAAUUUGUUUAACAAAACAAACUAUUAGCAGUCAGAUUUGGCAGUAUGUAGAAAGUGGUUUUGUUAUAGGGAUGGCAGUGUUGGUUCAGCAUUGGAAGAUCCACCCCCAAAAGUCAUCAUUUUAACAGAGGACAGGAAAAAGCCAUAUGAUCCUGUCAGUAUUUGGAAAAAAAGUAUUGGAUUAAAUUCUACAGCUGUUCAUGGUAAAAACUAUCAGGAGACUAGAAGUAGAACAGUACCUUCUCAACAGAUCAAAGACAUGUACUCCAUACUUCCAGCAAAAACGCCUUAUAUAAAUGGAGAAGAUACAAUGCUUUCUCCCUAAGGUGAGGAACAAGGGAAGAUAGGCCUAUUCUUCAUCUGUCCAUUAAACUUUGAAACAUAGGCCCAAACCAAAAUAGUCUGGCAGGGCCGGGGAUUUAGCUCAGUGGUUCCGCUGCCUGCCUCGCAAGGGGAAGGACCCAAGUUCAAUCCCCGGUACCAAAAAAAAAAAAAAGGGAACUGAAGCUCAGGCCAGGGAUUUAGCUCAGUGGUUCUGGCGCCUGCCUUGCAAGGGGAAGGACCCAAGUUCAAUCCCUGGUACAAAAAAAAAAAAAAAAAAAAUCAUCUGGCAAUAAAAUGAAACAAUUAGGAUAGGAUUGGCAAGGUAGAAGUAAAAUCUUUAUAUUCUUUAUAUGUAGAUGAAAUGAUCAUCUACAGAGAAAAUGCUAAGAAAUCUCUAGGAGCCCCUAGAACUUGUAUUUGAAUUUAGCAGGAUUAGAAAACACAGGGUAUAUAUAAAAGUUCAGGUCUAUGUAUACUUGCUAUAAAUGAAGAAUUGGAUAUUGAAAUUUAAAAGUUAUGUAGAAGUACACAGGACCUAGAAAAGUAAAAAGAAAAAAAAAAACAGUGUUUGAAGACAUUUAGUACCUAAUUUUAAGACUUCCUCUAAAGCUACAGUAAUCAAGUCAGUGUUGGUGUAAGGAAAGACAUAUAGAUCAUUGGAAUAAAACAGAGAAUCUAGAAAUAGAACCACACAUAUAUGGUCCACUGAGUUUUGAAAGAUUAUUUAACAUUAAUGUUUUAUAGAACAUAAACUCAAUUCAAGAGCAGAGGAAAAGAUAGUGUUUUCAGCAAAUGACACUAGAAUACCUGGUAUCCGUAUAUAAAAAAUUAACCUCAACCCUUUAUUUCCAUACAUAAAAAUAUCUUGAAAGGAUCUAUGAACUUAAAUAUGAGAGAUUAAAAAAAAGAAAUUAUCAGGGAAAAUGUUUAUGAAUUUAGGGUAGGCAAGAAUUUCCUAGGAUAGAAAAAACAGGAUGUAUAAAGGAAAAAAAUUGAUAAAUGAGAUUCCAUUAAAAUUUAGAACUUUAAAUGACAUCAUUAAGAAAAUGAAAAGUAAUCCUUAAACAGACCAUAUUUACAAUGCAUAUAACCUAUGACCAGAAUAUGUAAAGAACACUUGCACCUCAUUAAUAGACAACUCAAUUGAAAAGUAGACACAAGAAGAUGAUAAAUAGCCAGUAUAGCACAGGGAAAGGUGUGCAACACUAGAAUCAGAAAAAUACUAAUCAGUACAAUAACAAGAUUGAAUUAUACACUCAUUAGGGAGAUGAAGUUAAAAGUUUUAAAAGAACAAAUGUCAGCUUAGGUAUGAACCAAUUAGAACUUUCUAAUACUGCUAAUGUGAAUGUAAAAUGAUAAAACCAUUUUGGAAAAUAAUAUAGAAAUUUCUUGUAUUACUGUUAAGAACCAACAGUUCUGUUCUUAAGUUUUUACUUGAGAGAAAUGAAAACACAUGUUCACAAUAGAUUUGUAUAUACAAGUUGACUAUCCCUUAUCUGAAAUUCUUGGGACCAGAGUGUUUCAGAUUUUCAUUUGAAAUCCACUUGAUCUACAAAGAGGAUAGCUACUUCUGCUUUUUUUUUUUAUUCCUGUCACGUGGAGUAUUGUUUUCUACCCUUUUACUUUCAGUCUGUGAGUUUCUUUUUGAAUUAAAUGUGUUUCUUGUAUGCAGCAUAUUGUUGGAUCUUGCUUCUUGACCCAUUCUGCCAGUCUAUAUCUUUUGAUUGGUGAAUUGAGACCAUUAACAUUGAUGGUUAUAACUGAUAUGUAUUGACUUAUCAUUGUCAUGACUUUUUCUAUUUGUUGGAUUCUCUCCUUUUACAUUUAAUUUCUUGUCGUGCCCAACAGAUUCAUUCUGCUGGGCCUCCUGGGGUUGUGAUCCUCAUUGUCUUUUCCUAGGAUAUUGACUAGAAUUUUUUUUGGAGUGCUGGUUUGGUAUUCAUGAAGUUCCUAAGGUGCUCUUUGUCAUGAAAUUAUCUUAUUUCUCCAUUAAUUUUGAAAGAUAGUUUUGCAGAGUACAUCAAUCUAGGUUGGAGGUUGUUUUCCUUUAGGGCUUGAAAUAUAUCAAUCCGAACUCUUCUUGCCUUGUGGGUUUACAUUGAGAAGUCUGCUGUGAUUCUGAUGGGCUUUCCUUUGUAUGUGAUUUGUUUCUUUUCUCUCACUGCUUGUAGAACUUUGUUCUUCUGUUGAGUUUCUGGAAUCUUAACAACCAUAUGCCUAUGUGUAGAUUUUUUUUGAUCAUGGCUCCUUAGAGUCCUAUAUGCCUCACUUAUCUGUAUGUCAAGUUCUUUUCCCCUCCUUGGGAAGUUUUCUGCCAUCACUUCUGUGAACAGUUUUUUUUUUAUGUCAUCUGUACUCUCUUUUCUUUCUUCAUUGACUCCAAUCAGUCUUGUGUUAUUCUUCUUUGCAUCAUCUAGCAGCUGCUAGAUUGAUUUCUCAUCGUCCCUUACAAUUUUAAAGAAAUUUUUCUUUUCCUGGUCACUAAUAGCAAUCUUCUAUAUCUGAAAUUCUGUCCUCACAUUGGCUCAUUCUGCUGCGUAGACUUUCAGUGGAGUUUUUAAUCUCCUGGAAAUCUGUUUGUAUCUGUUUUAUGGAUUGUGUUUGUUUCCUAUGUUGGGAUUCUAUCAUGUUCCUCAGCUCCUCUAUUUUUUUAUCUGUGCCCUCUCUAGAUUUAUUAAUCAUGUCUUUCACUAAGGGCACAAUCUCUGCUGUUAUCUGAGAAAUUAUUUCUGAUUUCAUUUUUUCCAGAUCCUCUUUUGUUGUCAGUUCAGGGAGUCCAGGGGGUUGAGUAUCAGAUUGUUCCAUCUUGUUUCCCUUUGGGGUUGUUUUAGUUGAUCUGUAAGUCUGGUUUUGAAACUUGUUUAUGUAUCUUCUCAUUUCA
rnacentral:lncRNA from 1 species